rnacentral:lncRNA from 1 species
UAUAUAUAUAUAUAGAGAGAGAGAGAGAGAGAGAGAGAGAGGUGCUAUUAAUAGCACCAAGCAUUUGAUGCUACCAACUUUUUCACUAUUAGAACUACCUCUUUGACUAUUUCUGCCCUUUAGAUCAUACUGUUCCACCAAUCACUAAAUCCUAGGAUGACCACUAUCAUCAUAACCCCACAACCCUUCAUUCAAGGGCCAAAAAAUCCUUAAGCACUAAUGAUUUAGUACUAUUAGAAGCAUUCCAGCCAAGUUCUAUGUCUGUGUGUGUGUGUGUGUGUGUGUGUGUGUUUUUCCUGUAUUUUCCCCCCUACUCCUGAUACCAUUAAUUCCUCCUCUCCCCCUCAAUAUAUAUUACGGUCAUACAAACACUUCUUAUAUAUUCUUCUUGUUUGUAGAGAGCUCAACUUUUUAGCUAUUGGGUUUUUCUCUUGGUAGAGCUAAUCUAUCAAUUAAGCUAGCUACUUAAAAAAGAAUCAUCAAUUCUCACCCUCAAUUACUUACUUUCCCUUAGACUGUAAAUUUCUUUUUGUUGCUUCAAUUAGACCAAAAUCGAUCAGAUGUGUACCAGAGGCCAUUGGAGGCCAUCGGAGGACGAGAAGCUCAAGGAGUUGGUCGCGCGAUAUGGUCCUCACAACUGGAACGCCAUCGCCGAGAAGCUUCAAGGCCGAUCAGGUGCGGUUUUCGGUUAUCGAUUAUCAUCAUCUUUUCUUUCUUUCGUUUGAAAUCUAAUUUUCCUUCUCUUUGUCACUUUUUUUCUUUUUUCUUGUUUUUUGUGUUUUUUUUAAGUAUGAAAGGACUUUUCUUUCCCUCCAAACCAUCAUGCUUUUAGCAUUUUUUUGCUGUUUUAUCAUUUAGAUUUGUUCCUUGCUCUCUCUCUCUCUCUCUCUCUCUCUCUCUCUCCCUCUCUAUUAAUAAAAGAGCAAGUUUAAGAGAAUAUCAUGUUUCUGGUAUUGUCCUCAACUUCUUCUUUCUUUUUUUAUUUUUUCAUUCUCUCAACUAUGUAACACUAAUCACCAUUUUCAUCUCAAUUACGAAACAUUGGCAAUCAACUAUUUGUUUAAUGCACAUAUAUGAGACUACUAUUCAUUUAGUGUACGUUAUUUGCCAUUUUUUUCUUCAAGAAAUAUCUCUAAACGUAGCUCUAUAAUUUUUUUUAUUAGUGUCUAUGUAUGUCUCUCUCUCAUGAACAUAAUCAGUAACCCUAUAUCUGGAUUAAUAUACAAAUGAGAAUCUUUCUACAACCCCUGUAACACCCUAAUUUAGUCUAAAUGUGCAUUUGUAUGUGCAUAUUUGCUACUACGUGUAAAAAAGCAUAAGCAUAUACGUUAGAUAUAUGUGUGCUAUGUGCUCAAUGAUCCACUUAAUUGCAAGGCAUAUGUAGCCAAAUUGUCGAAUCAUAAAAGAUCGAUAUGUAAUACUAGUGCUCAAGCUGAAUUAAAAUUGAAGCAGGAAAGAGUUGUAGGUUGAGGUGGUUCAACCAGUUGGACCCAAGGAUCAACAGGAGCCCCUUCACCGAGGAAGAGGAAGAGCGGCUACUUGUGUCGCACCGAAUUCACGGGAACCGAUGGGCGGUCAUCGCAAGGUUAUUUCCCGGGCGCACCGACAAUGCGGUGAAGAACCACUGGCAUGUGAUCAUGGCGCGCAAGUGUCGAGAGCAGUCGAAAAGAUCAUCGAAAAGAGCCCCUUUCGCCAAUAUUAAAGAUGAGAGAUCAAGUCAACUCAAGGAGAGGGCUCGAUCGGAGAUCAACAACAUCAUGGCUAGUUCAUUCGUACUCGAGAAAUUUCGUAGAGGAUACACUUACCCCUUUGAGAAUGACCUCCCAACUCGCAAGCAGUUCUAUUCGGAAAAAGAUGGUUUUCAUUCUAAGGCCAUUGAAGGUAAUUAAAGAAACUAGUAUAUAUAAUUAAUUUCCAUUGGUUAGUUUCAUGCUUAUCCUUUGGAGUCAUCAAUCACUUACCCAUUAAUUUAUAUAUAUAUCAUGUGUUAUUUGCAGGAACUAAUAAUUCGGUUGAGUUUUAUGAUUUUCUCCAAGUAAACUCGACCUCAAACGAUACAAAGUGCUAUUCAAGUGUAGAGGAGCAAGAGGAGGAUGAAGAUGAUCAUCGAAGAGAUGGCGCUGUUCAAUUUAUAGAUUUCCUGGAGGUUGGAAGCUCUUAAAUAUAGAUAUUAGAAUUGACACUUAGAAAUGUUUAUGUCAAGGAUCAUGGACAUUGCACAUAGCCCUAACAUCAUUUACAGUACUACAUGAACUAUACUUAAUAUAUAUAUAUAUAUAUAUAUAUAUAUAUAUAUAUAUAUAUAGAACUGUGUAAAUUAUUUAUGUAAUUUAGUUCAGUUACAAGAGAAAGGAAGAUUUCUCUAAAUAAAAUGAGGAUCUGAAGAACACAAUCUUUAAAGCUUGUUAACACUGAUGAAUAUUGUGCAGCAACUCUGAAGAGAAAAUUGCACCUCAUGCAAGAAGGGUUUUCUACUCACUACAAAUUAAAAUUCUAGUGUUCUGUAUGUUAUGUGAUAGUUAUUUCUGUAUCUAAAUAAUGUGAUUCCUUUUUUCUCUUUUUUAGUACAACAAGAUAAUGCAGCACAUGCAUUUGUGUUGAAAGGCUUCCCUGAAUGAGCUUAAUUAAUAAAAACUCUAUCAUGUCUUCAUGUUGUGCAUGCAUAUUAAUUGCCUGCAAAAUUCCAUUGCUUUGGACUCAAUCAAGGACUUGGCUAAAGCUGAGUAAUAGAUGCUUUAAUUUAGAUGUUUAAUUAUGUAUCCUAAUUCGCGAGGCAACCUAAAUUGUGCACUAUUCUUUUUCAGAUACUGUACCAUUGUACUACAGUGUUUCUGAGGAGAACAUUUUACCACAAAAAAGGCAUUUUCCUCAUGAAAUUGAUAGUAGUGGUGGUAGAUUGCAUGUCUCUUUCUGUAUAAAUUAAAUGCUACAAUAUAUAUAUUUGCAUUUGAAGUUGAGGGUUUAAAUGAAUACACUCAUCGCCUUAGAUCUUAAAAAUUAAAUUUUUGGUUUUCUGCAAAUUUAUUUCUUCUCUUUUCGACUAGCUUAAGACUAUGAAGAAGCUCAGUUGAUAAGUUUAAUAAAAGCACACAAUGUUUAUCAAAAUAGAGAACCUAAUGAUGCCUUCUUUUUUUUUUUUUGGAUUCUGUCGCCAUAAACUUUUCUGUUGAUAGUGCUUAUAACGAUUGUUCGUUAGACAUCUGGUUCUACAAUGUGCAAGCAAUGAUUCAGUAUUCAAAGGCGGCUAGCGAUAUCUUCCUUUCUGAUCAGUAUCAUGUGAUUCAUGCUGUGAAAAUUCUAGAUAUGUAUGAUGAUCACAUCAAGACUAUUAUAACUAUAUUUCACGAUCGCGACAAGAGAAGCUGAAAUUCUCAGUGGCUGUCGACGGUUACAUUAUAGCUCUCCACUGAGCAAUUGAAUUUUACACGUUUCUUCCAGGUCAUGAGCUUACAGCGACGUAUCAACCGAGAUUUUCUUUUCUACUUUUUUCUUUCACUUCAAGUAAAAUUGAAGCAAUCCAACUCCAUGACAAGACAUUCAACAACCUCGUAAAUUCGACCGUCUUCUAUGAGAUAGAUCCUUAACGGCACCACAUUAAUAUUGUUUCAUGACAUGGUUCUUGGAAUGAUCCCUAUCGUGCUAACUAAUUAUUUUAAUUAUAUUGAUAUCAAGUUUAUAGACUUGAGAAAUCAUCGCUGUUUCUUUUAAUAUCUCGCGAUAGUUGUUUAAGCAUGCGUGGUCGAUCCUGUGCCACUAACUACGAUUAUAACUCGCUAAGUCUCACCUAGAUAAUUUAUAUAUUCGCCAUAUAUAAGAAACCUUAACAUAAACAAUCUUUCGUGACUCACCUAGAUAAUUAAGUUAUUCGCCAUGAGAAUCCCUUAAAUAAUUUUUGUGAGUGAUUACUUACUCACUGUCCUUUAGAAAAGCUCAAUACAUUCUCAAUCAAACAAACAUGUAUUGAGGCAACUGUACUUUGCUGUUAGAAAUGAGAAUGUAGCUGAGGAAGAAGAUGAUGUUAGAAAUGAGAAUGUAGCGAAAAUUUGUUCAGCAUCUAGCCAACAUAAUUUAUAAAGCUAAAAUUAAAAUUCAAUUGGAAAACUGUGGAGUAACCUCAAUCUUUAAAAGGCGCUUUUUAUAUCUUUUCUAUGCUUUCUCUCUCUUCUUCCUGCUUAAUUUAUGUCAUUGCGUGAACACAUAUUUGUUAAUUUGAUUGCAUUUUCAUUCAUUCCUUUGUAUCUUACUAGUAUAGCUUUUACUUCUAUUACUUCUAGAUUUAGAUUAUUUCACACACCAAAAUGUGAAUUUUGUAUCAGAUUUUUUAUACAAGACAUCUAAUUACUGUUUAUUAUGACAUUAAUCGCUUCUUGCUAAUUGCUUAUGCAAUUUUGAAACUGUUGUUACAGAGAAAUCAAAAUGUAUAUCAUUUUGUAUGGUUUUUGUCAAAUGAUGAGAAUACACUCGUAAGCAUGUAAUCACUUAAUUAAAACUCGGUCGACAUGUAUGUUUGGCUCUUGACAUUAAGUCGAAAUUAAUUAACUUAAGCACCAUGUGGGGACAAAAUAAUUUAUGUUGCUGUUUAAACACUGAAUCAUAAGAAUUUACAUUCAAAAAGAUUGGAACACAAAGUAUACCGUACGUACUCGAAAAUUGAUGAUAACAAAUGAUUGACUUAACACAUUAACUUUGAUGGGAACAUUCAACCAGUUUAAUUGCAUUAGAUUUCUUACUGAUUUGUAUAUGUCUAACAACCGAAAAUAACUCAACUUUAAUUACUUGAUUAUAUAUGUUUCUUACACUUUUUGUACGCUCUUUUUUUGUAUUAAAUACCAUGAAAUGCAACCAUUUAGUUUAGGUAAACCAUUUCCUCAAUAUAUGCCAUUUAUAGGAUAGCUACUGAAAAUCUACUGCAUUAUUAAUUUUGAGUCCCAAAUCAACAAUUAAUUAUGUAGUAAUUGGUUAAUUUAAAUUUGUACCUAGUAAUCGGUUACACGAAUUGUUCUCACAAGUUGAGAACAGUGGCACUUUUUCUUGGCUAGGUUAACCCCAUUUUUAGGUAUGCAUGGUGGUAGCAAAUAUUAGAUGUUUUAUAUAAAUAAGAUAUAUAAGAGACACAUGACCCAAACACAUGACCCAAUUAACUAUAAUCCAACUUUCUGAAAAUUAAUUAAUUUGUUCUCCUCUUUUAAUAGCUAGCCAAGUAAACUACUGAGUUUGGUGAUAUCAAACUCGCUUAUUAGCUCAUGUAACUUAUUUUGAGUUUAAUUCAAUGAGCUCAUGAAGUGAGGUAAUUGUUAGUUGAUUUUGGCUUUAGUUAAUUAGCCCAUUAGUAAAUCGGGUUAAGUGGUUAUGAGAGUGCUUUUUAUUGUGUAGUAGGGAGUUAUAUAUCUUUUCUCUUUAGGGCUCUUUUUCCUUGGUGUAGAGAAGAGAGGUGAAAAGAGGGUUGGAGAAAGGCACUUUCUUGUUCUUCUUACUUGGUUCAAAACUUUUAUGGAUCUAAAACGAAAUUUGUAGGAUCAGGAGAAGCUUAAUUCAAAGGAGGUUUAGCUAAAAGGGUUCUAUAUAUUGAUCUCAUUAAUUUGAAUGGUUGUAUCUCUUGUUGGAAAAUUUCUUUCUAAACCUUUUAGCAAAAUUUCCUUUUAAACAAUUGUAAAUAAAAAUAAGAUAACUUCAGUUUUGAAAAAACAAAAAUAAGAAUGAAGUGACGGAUAGUACAGAGAAGAGAAGAUUAGAUGAGGCCUGUGAAUCGAGACGUGCUUAGUACUAUUUUAAAAACGAAAUUGUCCAUCCAUGUGCGAGGCUUCGGCAAUCACUUCUAGCUAGCGAUAUAACGAUCAGUGUCCACCUGUCGGCAUGUCUUCAAGGUUGUGCAACACGAACCCAACAAACUUUCAGAAAUCCGGCACAGUAUCAAAAACGCAAUGUAAAAUAAAGUUAAAGUUCAGUGUACGAAAGAGAAGAGGAAGAAGUAAGUGUUAAGCAAAAUUUCCAGUUAAGCCCUUGUGCUCGUCUAAGUGUACACUCUCCUCAACUAUAUACAGAUGGGAACCUGACGGCUCUAUCUCGGAUAAGCCAUUGGCCUCUACCGAGGUGCAAGAUUUGGGCCCUUACCGAGGCAAGGCAAUCAUUAAACUAUAAGAACUAAAUCCCAAUAAAAUAAAAGAAAAUGAACCGGAUAGGCUGGACCGCACGCACCACUGCCUACCUGGCCCGGCUCAUGCAAUUCGCACAUGCAUGUAUUUAGUCGAGAGCAUCACUCUCAGAUUCUCCAAAGUAACUAACUUAAAGAUGAAGAAGUAUAGAAUUAAGAAACAACAAUAAGCCUUUAUUAGUACCGACUCGCCCUAGAGCAAGUGGCAAAGGGCUUGGUGGUUGGUACCCGAGACCUAAGUUCGAAUCCUAGUUGAUUCACAUUUCCAGCUAAGUUUAUUUCAAAAUGAAAUAAACGAAGCAGGUAGCGUGCUACCUAUCUCUCAAAAAAAAAAAAAAAAAGAAAAAACAAUAAGCCUUUAGUUUCUAAUGUAGAACUAAUCCUCACAUGUGGAAACUUAAUUAAGCACGGGCUUCCAGUUAAGGCGCGUAGAAUGUUGGGCUGCCCAGAAAGCCCAUGGGCUAAUUUAAAGUUUUAAAUCACUAAUAGUAAAUUAAUUCUAACAUCUCUAUUAUAAUAGAGCGGUAAUCUCUUGCCAACUUUUAUAAUCGCCUCAUUUUGAUAGUAGAUUUAAUCUUCUCCAUGCGGCCUAGUCUGGUGUGUGGGUCAACCACGUAAACUCUCUUAUAUUUGUGGAUGUGCUUGAGUUCUCUCUUUCUAUUUUAUUUUACUCUAAUUUCUUUCACAUCUUAAUUAGUUGUAGAAAAUUUAGAUCCAACCCAUUAAUUAAUUAUGUGAUUGGCGUGUUGAUAGCGUGGGUUCCGUGUUGCUCCACAUAAACAUUUUCUUAUUCAAAGAGACGGAUCAAACUUGCUCUCAGCAACAAAGUCAUUAAAUCCAUGCAUCCAUAUACAUCUCGAAGUAUCCGCGAAAAAUUAAUAGAUUGAGUUUCAGCUAUUAUUUCUCAAGAAAAAUAAAAAAAUUUAUAAGAAUUGGACGGAAUAGUGAUGAGACCCUGAGGGAGGGGGCUAAAUUAAUGCAUCAACCGGAAAUAUUGAGGGGAUAAAAUAUAGAUUUUUAAAAAUAAUAGAGAAAAAGUAAAAAAUAGAUAUUUAUAAUUUAGCAUUUUUUUUUUCCCUGGAAACUUCAUAGAGCACGUACAUGUACACAUUUAAAUAUAAUUAUAUACUAGUGUAGUAACCCGCGCGAUGCGGCGGGCAGAUAUAUUAUAAUCUUUUAUCUUUUAAAAUUUAAAUUUAAAUUUUAAAUCUUAUAUUUCUAUAANACUAGGUGUAGUUAUAACUGUAGCAUUUGCAACUGCAUGUAUUUCCAACUAUACUGUUUCUGCAACUACAUCCAACCAAACGGCCCCUAAAUGGGAAGGAAAAGCAAUUAGUUGGGUGGGUCCCACCCAUUAAUUAAUUAACAAAUUAUUUUAAGAUGACAGGACCCACAGAAGUUAAUUAAUUAACUAAUAAACUAUCUGACGGGUAGGGCCCACAAAAGGUAAAUUACGCUAAUUUUGCCACAUGGACAGAAAGGAACGGGUUUCAAUAUAGUUAUAGAUAUUGAUCUGGGAACGUGAAGUAAGAAUGUCUCAUGUGGAUAAAUUGAAUGGUAAAAAAUGUGUAAUUCGUUGGAGAGACUUAAUGGUCUAUUAUUAUGUACAAUUGAUGCUUUGUAUAUUUAACAUACUAAAAAAUAUAUUAUAUAUAUAAUAGGUUUAUAUAUAGGAAUUGAAAUAGGAUAAGAGUUACAGACGAGCUCGAAUCCGUUGGAUUUUCAUUAUUUAUACCUAUAAUCGAAAUCAUAUCUAUUUAGUAUCGGUUAAGAGACAGUCUCUUUGGAUUUCGGGUUUGAAUAAAAUUUGGUACAUCCAUACUCUUUACAUAGCUAGGGAUAGUUGAAAAAAUAAAAAUAAAAAAAAGGGGGAAAUUUUACCAACUGUUGUUUGUAUGGUCAGAAGAGGUCUUUUGGACACAUACACUGAUACACACACACACAAAAAAAAAAAGGUUAAAAAAGUUCUUAAAAGAAUAUUAAAAAGACCUUAUAACUUAUAUUUCUAGAAUUUAGAUGUGCAUUUAGAAAUUAGAUGUGGUUAAAAAAAGAGGUUAAAAAAAUUAAAAAAUGUAUUAAAAAAAACUUUUAACUUAUAUUUCUAAAAUUUAGAUGUGCAUUAGAAAGAAACAUGACUUAUUCUUUGUGGAAUCAUUUUUAUGUUUCUGUAAUAAUAAGGAUGUCAUCGUAUUGGUUUAGGAGCAGUUUUUUUGGAAAAUCUAAAAUCAAACCCAAAUAAAAAAUCAAAAAUUCAAAAUAUACCCAAACCCGAUUAGGUACAAAGUUUAAAUUCCAACACCGUCUUAAAUAAUAAACCCCCUCCUGCUCCGAUUCGGGUUUGGAUAAAAUUUCGGGCAUCCGUACCCAUUGGCGUCACUAUUACGUAAUAUUGGAGCAUUAAUUUGGAGGUAAAAAUGUAUGAAGACCCCUCAACCAUAGGCCGUUCAGAAAUAGCUCCAUCAACAUUUUUUUAAGAAAAAAAUGAGAACCCCUCAACUUUUUUUUUUUUUUUCUGAAUUAAGCAAUUUUAGUUUAAAAAAUUAGAGACUUUAUCAAAUUUAUUGGUGAUUUUACCAAAUUAAUUACUUCAUUACGUUUUAGCAAAUAAAAUUAGGUCAAUUAAUAAUUAAUAACUAAUGGAGACAUUAAGUUUUAUAAAAUUUAUAAAUAUAAUUUAAUAAGUGUAAGGAAAAAAAAUAAACAUCAAAUAAAAAAAAUUAGAAGUUGAGGCAGUCUCAAUCAAAUAUAAAAAAUAGUUUAGGGGUCUUUUUCACAACACAAUANAAAUUACUUUUUUUCUUAUAGAAUAAAUACAGAUAAUAUGGUCAUUUUAAUCUUCUGAAAAUAUUUUUAAAAUUUUAAGAAAAUAAAAUAUAAUUUUUUUGAAAGUCAGGAAGAUAAGUGAAAAUAAACAAAUAUUUACAGAAAUAUUUUCUGUAUUUCAGCCUCUAUUUUUUUUUGCAAUAUUUAUAUAUCUUUUCUUCAUAUUAAAAAAAAAAGAAAAAAAAAACAAAAAAGUAGGGACCUGUAACAUAGUAAAAUGGGGGUGCAGAGAAGAAUCAAAUAAUGGAGCUCUCUGAUGUAAUUCAGACAGAUAAAGUUCUCUCUCAAAAUCAUAGUAAAUAAACCAUUUUCUUCAAAUAAGAAAACAAACACAAAAACCUAAUAGAAUUAAUUUGAUGUUCAAACAAAAUAAGAAAUCAAUUCAAAUAAAAGAGAAUCACAAGCAAAACACCUUUUAAUUUGAUGUCAAAUUAUUAAUUACAGAACUAAGCAAAAAAAAAAGAAAAGAAAAGAAAAGCCAACAUCAAAUUACAAACAAAGAGUAAUGGAACAAUUACAUACUGGGUUCCCAUUAUUGAUCCUCUGGUGGAGAAAACAAAUGGCCUGAUGCGUGAUUAAAAUUAAGCCUACUCGGGGAGUCGAUUCUCACAAUUACUUCUUCGCCGCCCAAGUCGUCGUCGUCGUCACUCGAGUUCUCCUGUGCAGGAGCAACUUCUGUUCUUCUUACGGGCAGUGGAGGGAUUAGAGAAAAUUUAGCUGAAUUCAUGGACUUCAUCCUUCUUUUCAUGCUGCUCCCUUCUGACUGGACACAGACCAAAGUUUCCGAGCUUCUCGUCUUCGACGGAACCCGAGGAUAAGAAAAGCUGUGCACGUGAUUAGCUCGCGAAGCCCGCCGGUCCCUUCUUUGGGCACCGUACAUGUCAUUCACCUGCAGUUUUUAUGUGCCAAAACAAAAGUCGAAAUUAGUAUCAUAAGAGACCGCAGAGUUAAGGGUAUAAAGUUUGAACCUGUUCCAGCUUCUUCUGAAAGUUUUGACUUUAACAAUUUUAAGUCCUCGUUAGUCUACAGUCUACAAAAGAUGCCACCGAUGCCACCCAUGCAUCACUAAACAGUUCGUCGGCACGAUAGUGUUUGGGACUCGAGAUUCGAAUGACGAUUUAUUGACAUGAGAUUUAGUUUUAGACAGUAGACUAGUGGGACUUGAAUUUUACACGAAAUAAAGUUAAGGGGACUGAAUUUUUGAAAUUUAUAUAUAUACACUUGGAGAACAUCAUAAUUGAAAUCAGAAUCUAAUGACUCGACUUACCAUGCUUCCAUACAUGCUCAGCUGCAAAGCUCUGGCAGAGAAGCUAGUGGGUUGCUUAUCAGUUCGACUGGUACUCUGGUGGUGCUCUAUUUCUUUGUAAAAGCUCUCUGGCCAGCUGAGCAAACCAGUAUGUUCUCUGCUUCGGGUUCGCAGGGGUUCAACUGCAGGUGAAACCAUUUUUGACAUGGACCACCUUUGAGACAGAGCAUUCUCUACCUCAUAUUUACCCAAGUCGAAGAUAAUCACCCUUGCUCUCGGCUCCACCUCGAACUGGGAUGCCACACAACAAAAGUCUCUGUUGUCGAGAGCUGAAGCAAAAUAGAGAGCAGUUCAACCAAGAAUGAGCACGCACAUACACACACGCACCUUUGCACCCCAAAAGAAAACACAAAAACACAGAAAAAAACAAAAAGCAGUGACUUAAUUGAGGAAAAAUCCUCCAAGAAAGAUUCCAGCCAUUAUCAAAAUUUGAAUAAUGUUGUUCAAGGGGGGUCAAUCCGCCGUUAUUGUUUUUCACUGUAGUGCCAAAAUGAUGCAAUGAAAAAUCAAUAUGUUAGUUCAGUAAUAUAUAUAAACGAAUAAGCAUUAGACUCGGUAUGAUACUACGGGUGUCAAUCUUAACACGAACCCACUGGGUUAAUCCGACCUGACCUAGUUGGGACGGUUCUGAGUCAUCCAUUUUUAAAGGCGAUCAGUUUUAGGAUGAAAAAUAUCAACAGGAAAAAUUCAAGCUGGUUUCAGAUUUGACCGUAAGUCCAUUUUCAGUCAUGGUGCUUAGACAAGAUGGAAGAGGUUAACAGAUGGCUUGGGUCAGAUUGUUGAGUUGAGGUCGAUGUGGGUCAGGUUCGCAGGUUGGGGUCGGAUCAAUUUAAGGUCCAGUAGAGCCUUCAUCCAAAACGGGUCGGGUUGGUUUCGAGUUGAUCCGUAUAGCUACUAUUAUCUGAGUUCAACAUAACAUGAAACGGACACAACCAGUCGUCCAUUUUUAUAAGGUCGCAGAAUUUAUACCAUUCAUUUUGAUAUCUAUUGUGUGGAAUUAUAGUCGUAGGGACAAUUCAAAUACCCCUUGUAGUAUAGCCUGAUUGCACUUUGCUAUAUAUCUUGGUUAAAAGGCCCAUUCGAUAGUGUUUAAUCAUGCAGAGUUGUGUGGCGCAAUUCUGUUAACCCCACGGCAUUGAAAGCAUCUCUACAGAUGCUAUUACGAACAGUGGAUGCAAAAAUUGAAUGUAACUACCAUCCUGUCUUCUUAGGGAUGCACGCAAGAGAUAAUUAGCUAAUCAGGAUUGAGCACUAAAACAAUGUGGCAUAAAUUACACGAGUUGGGCUGUCAUGAUGCAUGUCCAAACCGUAAAAACCAGAUGGUUUGUAUUUCGAUUUCACAUAAAGGACGUUACAACACGAUAAAUUGGCUAAGUCAGCAUAUGAAAAUCGCUCAUCUCCCAAAAACGCUAAAAAUGUUAAGGAAAAGAAGUUCAGAAUUUGGCCCUAGAGUAUGGCUUGAUCUCACUCUACCAAAAUGAGAUUAAAAACCGAAGAUGCCAACCUUUUUAACAACACAUUAGAACAACUAACAGUGACAGCCUAGAGAAUAUACACAAUGGUACCAUUUGAAACCCAAAAGCCUAGUUUUAGUAAGCUAAUGUGUCUAAGUUCAAGGGCAUCCAUAAGUCACUUACAACUGACGCUGAAGGGGCAAUUGCUUAUUUACUCCUGAAAAGUUUCCGACUAUUCGAUUUAUCCCCCUAUUAGAAGACUAAUAUUGAAAAUACCCUUUUUACAUGCCAACCUAUUUCAAAUAUAUCCCUAGAGUUAAAUUCUGUUAAUGAACUGUUAGCAAUAGCUGUUAUCUCUAUAAAAUUACUAUUUUGCCCUUACUCUAUCAUAUGCAGAGGCUCUUCCCCAAAAUCGUUAAUGAUGCCUCUUCACCCAAAUUGUUGACGAUAUACUAUCUUUCUUUAGUGUUUUCUCAUGAGCAAGGAAUUGCCCAAGCCACCAUUGCCACCCUAUGCCAACUGUACCGGACUCUAUCGAUGCCAUGCCAACACAUGGCACAGGUUUGUACCAGCAUCAUGUCAAAGAAAUGUUUGUCUCGAGUGUUUUUGUGAUUAUAAUAGUUUUUUAUAAGGUGAAAAAUGCCCAAAAGGUUAUUGUUUACUUAAAAUAUGUAGAUAUUAUAUUUUACUACCAUUUGGAGCAAUUAAUUAAUGAUUUACAUUACAUUGUAAGACCAAGUUCCAGCAAAAAAAAGAACAACAAUUUGAUGAUUUUCUAAAAUUUUUAUUGUCAAUUUAGAUCUAGUGAAUUUACUUGUAAUAGUGUUUUUCAUGUUUUACAUAAUUAUGACAUAAAUUUUGUUUUCAAGCAUGAAAAAAAUCUUUUCAGUUGUUACAAUGUUUAUGAAUCUAUUAUCACUAACUUUUGUGAGAUAUAUCACUUGAUUCAUUUUUACAGCCAUUAGAGACAUCAAUACUCUAAAAAAUUAUUUUUUCAUAAAAAUUUGACAGCAAAAUAUAUGCUGAUUACAUGCUAGUGUUUCAAUUGUGUGCCACUUUUGUAGCCAUUAGAGACAUCGACACUCUAAAAAACUAAUUUUUAAAUAAAAAUUUGACAGAAAAACGUAUGUCAAUUACAUGCCAGUUGUGUGCCACUUGCAUAGAGGAACAUGCUGGCACAGGGCGUCCACUAAGCCGUACCAUCUUUUUAUGGUACACCAGUACACCUCAUGCUAGUGGCAUGACAAUUCUUGCUCAUGAGUAUGUGCCCAAAAAAACAAAAAAAUAGUUUUUUAAUUUUUAUUAUUUGUGCUAUUUACUAGGACAAUUAUGAUUGUUAUCGACUUACUUACCGGCCAUCUGACUAGCAAAUGUAAUUAAGUAGCAAACCUUAUGAAUCCUAGGAAGUAUGCAGACCUACAAUCACUUGAUCAUUUAAUUAGGAAAAAAGAUGGAGGGUCAAACAAUAUCUCGCUGCAAACAGAACAAGUUUUAAAUUUCCAUCCCUUAAAAUCUUAUGAACUAAUAUUCCUAAAACAAUAUCAUCAUCAAAGAGUAAGCAAAAUUGUUAUUGUUGGCCUAGCGGUCUUAAUCAAUUGUUAUGUAUUGAUGCUCACAAAUAAUGUGUGAUUAUGGUACUAAUCUCUUCACUUGAAUUUAAUCUCUUCACUUGAAUUUGAUCCUUAUACUAGUAAUCAUUAGUGAACUCAAGCAUAGUGAUGUGAGAUGAAUAUGAAAAAAGGACAAUAAACAAUACAAUCUCCGGAGAAUUCAAGAUAAUGAGCAGAGCAAAAUAAAGAUGGCAGAAGAGUACCGAGCUAAGGAGCUAAACAAGGAACUAAAGUCCUAUCUAAGUUAUUUUGCUUAAGUUGGUCAAAUUGACUAAGAUGAGGAGAUUUGGACUUAAAUGUAAAAAUGGUAAUUUUGAGCUUAGAGAGAGACGAGGACUCGAAAGAACUUUCUUUAUUCUCUACUAAUCACACAAGGACCAAAUUAGUACAUAUAUCUUAAAGUGUGCUAAGAUGAGCCAUAAAGCCAUUUAUACACUAUUUGGAAGCAAUAGCUUAAAAUUGGUGUUGGUCUGACAGAGGAAUAAGUAUCAAAUUGAUGUAAAAUAUUUUCUACUUGAUUUGUUGUAGAGUUAUUUUUCCAACGACUUUUGAAUUCGUGCAAAUCCUAUAUCGGAUCAGUGAGAUAUCAUGAUUUUAUCAAUAUCGGAUCAGUGAGAAAUUCGAAGCCUGGAAAUAAAGUGGGAGCCUGAAUCCACUGGUUACCCUCUGUUUGGGAAGAAUCAAGUGCCCGGAACAAUUGAGGGCGACAACCAGAUGGAGAAUGCGUGCCUUGGAAUAGUCAACCUGCUUCUAAGCAGAAGCGGGCUCCCAAAAAUUUUCCGGAUGUCUAAAUUUUUAAAUCUUGAAUUCAAAAUGAGCCCAAAUCAAGUCAGAUUGGUCAAGAUUUGCGGGGCCUGGCUUGUGUCAGCUAAUUGAUUGGUUCGGACACCCUAAAGUAGAUUCAGGAGCCCGAAAGUCAAUUUCACCAAACAUCUGUCCAAUCAAUGUUGUAAAUUGAUAGGCAAUUGAUGGAUUUAGGGCAUCCGAAUUGGUUUAGGGCAUCCGGAAGUGCAGAAAGCCUGUAACGGCUUAGGGCAUCCGAAUUGGUUUAGGGCAUCCGGAAGUGCAGAAAGCCUGUAACGGCUAGUUGCGCGGUUUUGACUAUAAAUAGAGACUUGUAUGGCUUGAAAAAAGUGGGCUGAGAGGAGAGAGGUGUAGGAAAUUCUUGAGAGAAGUUUGUCUAAGUCCUCUACUCCAUCUUAAGCUCAAGAUUGCCAUCAUCUAUAUGCGUAAAUCCCUUGUAUUGAGAGAUUUAUAUCUUGUAUAGGGAUAUUCUCUUGGAAACAAGUGUUGUAAAGUCUUGGUGCUUACCCGUAAAAUCAUUGGAGAGCAAGACUCUAUUGUAAAGGCUUAGUACUUGCCCAGAAAAGCAUCGGAUAGUAGAAAUCCAACUUCACAAAAAUAGAGAGUUGGCGGGGAUGUAGCAGGGAUGUAGGCAAGGGGCCAAACCUCGAAACAAAUCGCCAUGUGCGUAUUGAGUUUGCAUUUCUCUACUCCCUGUUCUUACUUUAUGUGAAUUAAUUUUGCUUUACAUUGUUUUAUCUUAGUUAAUUUCUGUAGAUACAAUUAACUUGCAACUGUUAUCUUAAAAUCCUAAUUCACUCUUCCUCUUAGGUUGCUAUGUCAAUCCUCAGUUAUAAUCUUCUGAACUUACAUUCAUAAAUACUACUAUUACCCAUAUUGUAAUCAAAACUCAUGAGUUCUUGCACUUACCUGAAGAUUCAAGGCCAUAAAAGCUCGCAUCAGUGUGUGGUGACAACAAUACUGCAGGAGGCAUAAUAAAAUUUUGCUGCUCUUCUUUAAUCCUUACAAAUCCAUCUAAUAAAAUGGCAGCACAAUUUUGUUUCAGUUCUAUAACCUCUCCUCUUCCAUAAUUUUUCAUUGUUGAUCUUUCGGCCGAAAAAAGCCUCAAUUCAUGCAUAGCCAUCUCUUCGAAUAUUUGGGGAAGCAAGAGCCUAGCGAUGACUAAAGAACAUUCCUGCAAAUUAAAGGUGCAAAUUGAAAGAACAAAGUAAGAGGAUUUCAAUGUUAGUUGUUAUGAUACCAUAAAUGCAUGACAUACUAAAAGAAAGAAGUCAAGCUUAUGGAAAUUAAUAAAUGUAACAUGAAUAAUAUGACCCCACUGCUCAUAUUCCUCAGACGACUUUGUUUGCAACAAAAUUCAGAAAAAAAAAAAAUAAAAUAAAAAAUAAAAGUUGCCAAAAAGGAUACCUACCGGCUUUCAAGAUUGCCUGACUAAUUCCAUCUUAUGUCAGUUACCAUAAAAAUGUAUACCCUUAUCAAAGAGAAACAUGAAACAGCUGAACGAACUAUACCUGCCACAGGAAAUCUUCAACAGCAGAGACAAACUUAAGCAAUGACUGCAACUUUUCAGCUUCUAUAAAGAAGCACUGUACAACAGAAUCUGCUAUCACAUCACAUAUAUAAGGCUUUCUAGCGAGCACUUCAAAAAGGCCCAAAGUGCUUCCAUGUGAAAAAACUGGAUGCAAUGAGUGCUUGCUGCUGAGCCUCCUACUUGACCACUACAGCAAAAUGAAGAAAACAAAUUUAAUGUAAUAAAUCAAAAUCCCACGACACUAGUAAUUAUGGUUUUAUAAAAAAGAGACUCACCUUUACAACUCCAGCUGAGAUAAGCCAAAUGCCAUUUGGCCUGGAACCCUCCUUAUACAAGGUCGCUCCAUUCGAUUUUAGAGUUUCUUUCAUAGAAGCUUUCAGAGCAUCACGCGCCUCAUCAGGCAGUGCACCAAACAUAGGAUGGGCACUCAAAAGAUCGCUUGCUUUGGGCAUUUUCACCGGUGGUGGAUUUCUUAGAAGCUUCUUUAGGUCAGUCUGGUUCAAACAGUACAUAAAUGUUAGUUUAGAAGAGAAAUAAUUUCCUGCACCUGGGGUAUACUAUGUCAGCCAUGCACCGUGCUGACACCGCCUGUCCCAUCUCACAGUUACAAUCCAACUAUCCAAUUAACUUAUAAAGAAAAUAAUUUGUAAAUCAAGAAAAUGUUGCAAUAGGCGGGGGGGCGUCCAUCCCAUCUCAUACUUACAGCCAAACCAGCCAGCCUACUUUUUAAGGGGGAAAAGAGUUACAAUCAAUCGAUGGAUGCAACUCACUGAGCGAUGUGGACUACAUUAUGAGAUGGGGAUGGACGGCAUCACACCGGACAGUGCACAGCUGGCAUGAAGCACCUGGCGUAGGCAAUAGUUUCUUGUAGUAGAAGAAAAUUAGUUAAUUGGAGAAAUACUGUAUCUUCCUAAAACACAAAGUUUCACCUACCUGCACGGCAUCGUCAAGAUGAAACAUUUCCUUCUCUUCGAGUAGCCCGACCUUCUGAAGAUUUUGCACAUACUCACUGAGAUGUUUCAAUAUUGAAUAUGUUACUUGUCGAGUCUUAACCACACGGAGGACCUGGAAAUAUUUUACAUACAAUUCACAGAUAGUUGACAAGCUGUGAGAAACAUGUAUGAAUAUAAUAAAAACCCCAACUUAUUAUAAGAGAUAAAACAAUCGCUUCACUAGCCACAAGCAUAUCACAGAUGUAACAAUGAAGUUUCAAAGUCAAGCAAUAAUAUUUUAAAAAACAUGCAGUGGAAAAUUUUUAGAAACAAUUGGAAUGGAAGACAAACCAAGUGAAUUUAAUAGAGAGACAUUACUACAUUGGAACACAUCAAAGCCAACGCACAACAAGAGUGCUAUGCAUUGACGUCAUCUUACAAAUGCAUAAAAGUGUUACAAACCUGAGGAAAUGCAAGACGAACAUUUUCCAAGAACUUCCUAGCUUCCUCUCCUUCGGCAUAACUUUCAUCAAUAACAACGCUAGCAAUCUCGCUAUCACCUACAAUGAAGAGUUUAACUUUUAAGCAGCAAAUUAAAUUAUUGCCAAUAACAACAUUGGAAUUGCAUUUAAUGCUGGAAGAAAGAGAAACGUAGAAAUAAAGAGAUAAGAUACACCGCAAAGUUUAAAGGUGGGAUUGCAUUUAAACUGGUCAAAAUACUUGAAAAUUAGGAGAAAAACCACUCAUAUGAAGUUUCCAUAAUCCUCCCGAUAACAUGUCAAAAAGGAUAAAUGUCGCAGGUGAGUUUGCCACCGCUUCAGAUAGCUUUGUGAAUCAACCAUACACAAAAGUUUAUGACGUAAUAGGUUGUGUCAAAUUACUGGACUUACACAAACACUCAUUAAUCCUGUUAGCCACAACUGCAACAAGUUACCAUACAUAGAAAAAGGGUAAAUUGCAUAUGGGUCCUUAACCUUUUAGUGCGGUUACAGUUCGGUUCUCAGCCAUUAAAACGUAACAAAUUCAGUCCUAUGCCUUGUUGCAGUUUUGUCCUACCAUAAAAUUUCUUUGUUAAAAUGAACAGAAAUGUCCACAUAACUGCUAUGUAAGCAACAUCAACCCUUUACAAACAAAUAAAGAGUCCAUAAGUUGCUCAAGUAGCAGUUACAUGGAGCUUACGUGGUGCAGUUACAUGGCACAUUUUACCUGAUAGAAUUAUUGGAUAACUAAGAAUUAAUAUUUAGGGGUUACAUAUCUACCAAUAAAAUCAUGAAGUUGCCUCCUUGCUAUCCGAUGAGCACGAAGAAAUGCAGCACAUAUAUAACAUUGAGACUCCAACCUUUCCACUGUGAAAAAUGUAAUGAUCCUUUGCGGUAACCUGCUCAUCUGAAGGAAUGUAUAAUAGGUGGGAAAAUGGACAUUGGAUCGUAAUCCAUUCCAAUCACAUAAAGGUUCGGUUGAUACGACAUCCAUAGCUUCAUCAACAGAAGUCAUUAAAAUAAUUGCAGUAUUCUGAGUAAUUCUUCCCUCUUCAAGCAUUCCCCAAUAGGCAGCCUGAACACCUGUGACGAAAUCUCUUGUCAUUUGAAUAUAAUAGAAAAUUGUAGUUUUUGAUAGAUGGGAAUAUCAUAUGCUGCACAUAAUUGCAAAAAAAAUAAUAAUAAAGCAAGUCAUGGCAACCGAACAAAGAGAUCAUCUGAAAAAAGUUAUUGUCAAUGGGAAAAGGGAAAAAACUUCAUUCGAAACAUCAGGUUAGUUUAACACUAGUUUUUCUUUGUUAUAUUUGAAAGUUUUGCACUAGAGGCAGAUAUUCCAUAAAUGAAAUAUGACAAGAGAUCUAACAAUGAUCUUUGAAACCAAAAACACUAUGAAGUCCUCAUAUUAGACUUCAUGAAUUUGGUAGACCAAAAGAGUCAGCGUUGCGAACAAUAUGAUCAGUAAAUAAGGAUAUCACAAGAUUCUUGUUUGCAAUUCUCCGUAUCAUGCCCUUAGGAGAUCAUUGUAUGGGGCAUAAGUAUAGACAAGCAUUACAAAAGGGUUUCUGGUAAUGAUGGCAGCUGAUGCCAUCACAAUUUGGUUUAAUGCCAAACAAAUUUGGUUUGACAUUCAACAUCCCACAUAGUAUAAUACUCAAUACUUCAGAACAGUUUUCCUUGAGGCGCAAGCAACAAAGAGGCACUUUAGCCUUGCAAAAAGGUUGCCUUCUGCAGACAUAAACAAGAGCAGUCUGAUCCUAACAGUUACUAAUCUCUUCGAUUUCGCGUGACAACAAAUUCCGAAAGAAUAACACAGAAGCAGUCGAAGUACAAAAAAGUAUGGCAGGUAUUCUUGAAUUAAAAGCAUAGCAUAAAAGAAUGAAGCAUGCCACUAUUCCAAUGAAGGUAUGUAUAAAUUAGCGAGCAGGAAAAAGCAUAUGUAGAAAACAAUGAUAUACCGAAAUUUCACUAAUUAAAAUUCAAAAAUGUAAGACAACUAUCAGUUUGUUGAAAGAAAAAUAAAAGUGGCGAUUCAGCUUACCAUUCAAAAGACGUAUUCGAAUAUCUCUGAGCGCCAUGUUACGUAGAUGAUGGUCACUCUCAGAGACAUUAUGAGGAUGCACCUGUUCUUCUUCCAAAUCAUUCAAGCAUGUUAUAUACCUCUUGACAGUAGGCCAAUCAGAUGGUCCUAAUUCUUCAUCAUCCCCAAGAUCACCAAACGCCUCAAGUGCCUUGUUUAACAUUUCAUACCGCGUAUAGCUCAAUAUCCGAAUCUGCAAUAGUUAAAAUAUCAAAUUAAGCAAUUGCAGUAAAACUAUAUUAGGUAAUUUAAAUAUUGCAAAGCGAGAUCCAAAAGAUAGCACGAAUUUCGAGGUUAAAAAGAAAGAGAUGACAGUAAAUGCCAAACCGAUACAUCGUAAGAGAGAUAUCGAAUUACAUGAGGUCGAAGUUGUACUAUCUACUUUAGCCGAAAAUAACAGACACUGGUGGUGAAAGUCUCAGUGCUGAAGUAACCAUCAUGUAACAAACUCUAAAAAAGAAAUUUAGUGAAACAAUGAAGAAGCAAAAUCUCCAGGAAAGCAACUCAUAACAUAGACCAAAUCUACUGACAACUACAAGGCAUGAGAUAAAAGAUGCUGAGCCCAUAGAUGUAAACGGCACUACUGAUCAAGGAUUUAAGUGCCGUGGCACGGGGUCGUGUCGGAAACUUGCUAGCACGGUACGGCACAAUGCGUGCUGGGCCAUGCCGAUGCGUACCGGUCACAAAAAAUUCAUGAGUGCUAACACAUAAUAGCAUGAAAUAUUUAUUUUCUUUAGCAACAAAAUAUUAACUAUUUAUUAUGUAUGUUUAUCUUUUGAACUUUAUUGAGAAAAUUACUUACUAAUUUAAAGAAUAGAGGGUUUUGAGCUAUGCCGUUCACACGGGGUCUGUAUCGUGCCGAUAUCUUGUUGGCACGAUACGGCACAAUAGAUAUGGUCCGUGCCGAUGGAUACUUAAAUCCUUACUAUUGAUGAUCUAUACAACAAUAUAAAAUCAGAAACUACGGUAAGUGUAAGGUGCCAAACUUCUAAAGUUAUGAAGUUUCGGUGGAUAUUGGUUUGGAAAGCCAUUAAAAAGGUUCCAGUGAAAUUCUGGAGCAUUCGGAUGUUUUCGGGGCGCGUUGGGCACGAAAACGGAAACCGAAAGGCUAUGUUGGACCGAGAACUAAAUCCGGCGUUAGUGUAGAUGAAAAGAGGAUUUAAAUACGCUCGAAAACAUGUUUUGAGAGUCUCGAUACGAUUUGAAAUGAAUCGGAGGCCUAACGAGCGAAAACGGGCGAAAACGGAGUGAAAACGAAAAAUGCUGAAAAUUUGGCUAAGUCCUUAAUUCUGGGCUGUCUGGACCUACAGGGUCCGGUCGCUAGUUGUAUUAGGGUCCGGACCCUGAGCCCGAAAACAGCCAAGCGGGGGCAGUGCACUAGUUGCGUUGUUGGAGGGCUUUUUGGCAAUUUUGCCAUGAGUUGAGUGUAUAGGAGUGGAUAGAGCUUAUUUUUCCUCAUCCCUCACACUCUCAACCCUAGACAUAGCUCUCUCUCUCUCUCUCUAGAAGCUCUUCCUCUCUUUCUAGAAGUGGAUCAAGAGGAGAAAGAAGAAGGAGAUUGGAGCUUGGAGAAGGAUCAUCAUCAUCUUCUUCAUCUUCUUCACCUUCUUCUUCCUUUACUUGGAAAGGAAAACUUGUAGAGGUAGGUUUUUGAACCCCUCUCAUGGUAGAAUGCUAAGGAUGGGCUUAUAUAUCCUAGAAAUGGUAUCUAUUGAUGCUCUAGGAGUAGUUAAUCUCAUUUAUUGCUUGAAUAAAUGCUUGUAUGAGGUUUAUUGCAAUAAUGGGAUUCUAGGGCAUGUAAAAGAGGGCUUUUGCUCAUGAGUAACUUUGAGCUAAAUUGAUCUCUCUCUAACCUAAUUGCUAGGUAUACAAAUGCGUUGGCGAAGUCGGUUCGGCGGUUCGUCGAGCCUAUGCGAAGAAGUCGAAGAAAAGGCCUAUUUUGGUACAGAUUGCCGCAGCACGCGGCGUAGGCUUCCAAAAAUCACGAGAUUGGAUUUGUGGACUCGUGGCAUCACCUAAAGGUGGGGGGUGUCCAUCCUGAAGCAACUGGGAUUCCUUUUUAUGUCUAAGUUAUAUUAUUAAUCAUAUUGCACAUACGACUCUAUGCAUUAUAGGAGUAGAUAGUUGCAUUUCUAUUUCCUUGCAUGCCUUCUUAGUAGUGUAGCAUUGUGGGCUUGACACAUGGACUAGGGAUGCAUGAGGAUUGGGUCUUAUGACAUGGAAUCCUAUAGUGGCAUAAAGAGAUGAACUUGGACAUGUAAAUAGCCUAGAGGAGUGCAUUUGAACUAGUGUAGUAGAGAUACUAUAACAUGAACGAGUGGCAUGUCGACUUAGUGUAGCGAGACACUUACAACAUCAUGACAUAACGAGUGGCAUUCGAAUCUAGUGUAGCAGAACAAUAUAGCAUUUGAACCUAGGAAUAGUAGAUUCUCGAUUGUCUUGUUGUGGACAUUAAGUUAGUGCAGUAGAGGCACUAUGACCCUAGUAGACAGGGUAUCCUCCAGUGAGGGGAUUGGAUCAUACUCACAUAGUCUGUGUAACAUUGGCGUGGUCGCUCCACCCAAGUAGUGAGCUUCGGAGUAGCAGUCGCGUUGGGACAGACGUAGUUGUCUCGCAGACGGGUCUCGGGUGGGAGUAGCGCAGAGUCUCCCCACUAGCGAGAUUUGAGAUGUGAGCCGGGGUAGCAACCUUCGGGUUGGCCUUGGGCAGUAACCUUCGGAUUAGCCAUGAGAUUUGAUUAUCGAGGCAUAGUAUCAUGUUGUAGAACAUUACUAUGUAGUAGCUCAUACAUUGGAUUGUUGAGGUAUAGUAACAUGUUGUAGAAUACUAGCUCAUUCAUUUAUUAUUGAGGCAUAGUUGCAUGUGUAGAGAACAUUACUAUGUAGUAGCUCAUACAUUGGAUUGUUGAGGCAUAGUAGCAUGUGUAGAUUGCAUACUAUGUAGUAGCUCAUACAUAGAAUUAUUGAAGGCAUAGUAGAAUGUUGCAAAUUACUUUACUAUGUUGCACUUCAAUUUCAUAUCUAUCUAUCUAUCUGCUUAUGCCUGCUUAGACCUAGCGGGAAGAUCGGCGGAGUCGGCGGCCGAAUUCACUCGGAACUAUAUUUAUAUAGUUCUCACCCCACUUUGUUGCAGGGCCUAGAGAGAGCAUACCGGCAGUUGAUCGCGGUAAGGGCAUAGCGCUCUAGUUAGCUAGCAGCUUUCAUUUUGCAUUAGAGUACCCUCGUGUACAUGAGUGAUAUGUGAUAUAUAUUGGUGAGGGUGCUAGUUGGAAAGCCAUUUUAUAUUAUGAGAAGAAUAUGUAUUCGUUUUGGUAGAUGAAAAGAAUGCAAUCAAACUGUAAAUCAGUAUGUAAAUGUUGAAUGUGAUGUAAUAGCUAGAACUAUCUCUCUUUAUUCACUUGUAUGUUACUUGUGAUUCUUGCUCUUAAUUGUAUCGCACUUGUGGUGCUUCUUAUACUUGCAUGUAUCAUGUAUGUUGAAUGAGUUUUUCCUGGGCAACUCUUGUACGUGAUAUUGUUGUUGUUUAGCCUUGGGCGGACAGGGGAGGUGCUGUCCGUCCGGCGUCUGUUCGACGUGCCCAGAUCCGACCAAAUUGGCGGGUCGCGGGGCGUGACAGUAAGAAAUAUAGGUGCACUAGAAUCGAUACAUUUAGGAGGGCAGUUGACAAGCUAUAAACAAUUACACAGAGUUUCGCCAACUUAAAUAUAAAAUAUGGAAUAGAUGAUAAUGGAGGAGGAAAUCUAACCUUUGCCGCUGAUAGUUUAUCCAUUCCCAAAAGAUGCAAGAACCAUUGAGUAGUUGACCCAUUCACAAUCAGUGUUAGGAAAACAACGCCACCCGUGAAAAAUACAAACUGAAGAAUUACAGAACCAUGAUUAUUAGCGUUACCACAAUCACAAAGAUUUGCAUAAUCAUGGAAAAACUGUGUAUUACAUACCAGAGUUCCUACUUCUGGUUUAAGAUAAGAUUGAUCUGGGUUGUCGCUAGCACGCUAACAAAGAUUAAGAAAGGAGUUAAUAUGUCAAGUCAAAGAUAGUAAAGCAGCAUUAUGAUAUGUUUCACUAAAUCAUACUUUAAAGAGACAGCAAAUUGUAAAGUGAGCGAAUUGUACGAAGCAUAACGAGUUCAUGAAGAAACCGAAUUGUAAACAAGCAAAAAUUAAGUGUCUCACCAGCACACAGAAUGUAAGGUACCGGACUUCUAAAACUAUGAAAUUACGGUGUACAUUUAAAUGGCUCCGGUGAGGUUGCGGCGGAAUGUAACAUACCGAAUUUUAAAUAUAAAAGUGAAAAUAAAUAAAAAUAGUAUGAGAUACUAUUUUUAUUGGAUUUAGAGAAGUGAAAUAUAGGUUGGGAAUGACCNGAUACUUCCUUAUGCAAUCUUGAUUGAUAUCCGUUCCUGGUUGGAACAUAUCUAUAUUGUUUGGAUUGCGACGCCUUGGACGUACUGGGGAGACUCUGUCCGCGUACAAAGGAAUCCCCGGUCCGUUCGGCGGUCUGUUGUCGGCGCCGCGGCCCGGUCCAAAUAGGCGGUUGGUCGCGGGGCGUGACACAGAAAACAGAGGGGAAAAAAAUGUACUUAAAAGAGUAUUAGUAUAUGCAGUCAGGUACAUUAAGUAACAGGUACUGCUUACCUUGCCACAAGUUCUUACUGCCACUUCAUUAGUACAGCUCGCCUUGAACAGUGACCAAGUUUUCAUAAUAUAUCGUUUACCAUUCCUCCACUUAUAAUAGAUGAUAAACAUCAAUAUCAUCCAAUUUUAUUUAUGCAAAUUGAUACAUUUUCAAAAUAGUUCUUACCAUUCCUCCACUUCUCACAGACGUAGAUUAUUGGUCCUUUACACCCAUGUCAACCAAUUUUAGCCAUGCAAAGAUGAAUGGGGUGGGAAAAAUGCAGGUGCAGUUAAUUGGAUUGCACCAUAUAGACUAGAUGUGAAAUAGAUCUCUCUGGAUAAGUAGAAUUUCAAGUGCAACAAUUUGUCGAUUUAAGGACAGGACUACCAAAAGUUUCGAAAACGGUACGGAAUCAGGCAAGUGGACAAACAUAUAUUUGCACUAUGUAAAAGUAUAUGGAGCAAAUUAAGUGAUUACAUACAGGAAAAAGAGAAAGCAAAACAUAUACUACUUACGUUAACAGAUAGCGAUAGUGCCAAAGCCACAGCCCCUCGCAACCCUGCCCAGACAAGAAUAAUUGAUUCUUUCCAGUCCAAGCCAUAUCCAAAGUAUCGCAAAAGUGGAUACAGCACGGCAACAACUAUUAUUCGCGAGACUUGAACAUAGACAUACAGCAAAACAAGAUAGCCCCAUGAAGUGCCUGAACAAUAAACAGAAGACAAAUAUCUUACAGAUUUCAAAAUAAAGAAUCAAGUUAAACAAUGAGAUUCAUUUUUAAGCAGUGAUAUAACAUGGAUACAAUAAUCAACAAAUGAAAGGCUAACAAUGAAACAAUGCAACACAACUACGUAUUGAACCAUGCAACACAACUAUGUACAUGCCAUUAUUACUUUUCUUAAAACCCGCUCUGAAUUUUUCAUGUGUAUUGUCAUAAUUAAUAAGAAGAUAGUAGUAAAUGUCUUAUCCAAAUGUCUAAAACAUCUAAAUCCUUCAGACGAGUAAUAUGCCAUAAAAACUAAAGCCAGCAUGGAGUAGCACUAUCAUAUAAUCUUUUAGCCAACUCAAAUGUUAUGAUAAAAUCAAAUAUUAGCACAAAAUUAAGAAAGUAAUUCACAGUUUUAAAUAUGUAAUAGAAAAGAACACUAGAUGCUCAACUAACUACAGGAAAAUUAAAAAUUGCAGAACAUACCAUGUCUCUCAAAGUGAUUGUCGUUGUUUAGGACACCUUCAGCUAUUACCACCCCACUGACAAGGAGAAAAUAGAAAGUUAGCAGAGCAGUGCAUAAGUUAGAAAUGUUCUAAGAAAAGCAAAGUAUCUUCACAAAGGAAGACAAAUUUUGGAACCAGCAAGGAAGAUAAUAGAAGAUGUUUUCCCGAUUUAAGGGUAGCCAUGCAAACACAAGUUGCACAAUUUAGAAAUCAUUGUGCUAGGGCAUGUUUAGGAAUCUAGAUGAAACACCGCCACCAGCACAAAUCAAGUGUAAGACCUAUUAACCAAAUGCCAUUGUAGUACUCGUCAAAAAGAAUGUACAUUGAUGCUUAUAGAAAUGAAAGCUGAACUUACAAGUUCGCUUAUUAGAAAAAGUUUUUCUACAGCCUUUUUCCAUCACUUUGCCAUGUUUUCGUAGGUGUUUUCUCUCUUUUUCAUAUUUGUUUAAUUGAUAGUUAGUGUCUAAGAAAAACCUAAAGGUACCAAACAGAAAUUUCUAGAAUCAUACAAAAUUGUAAAGAUGAAGCUCAUAAAACGGUUCUUUGAAAUCAUACACCCCUCUAAUUUCAACCAGAGAAUAUACAUAAUGGACAACAGCGUGAAAAUUCACGCUUGAAUAGCAUUAUACCAUAAGUAAUGGUUUCGUGAUGUAAAGUCACAAGACAUAGUUAUUACCUCAAAAUAAAAAUUAAUGUAUUGGCUAUGUAUGCCACCAUUUCCCUGAAAAAAAUAAAAUAAAAUAAAAAUUGGAAUAAAUGGUCUAAAUAUAAUAACUCUGUAACAAAGAAAUGUUAUGUUUCAUCUGAAAGUUGGCAAAAUAUACUCUUUAUUUCGUUCUUAUUUCAUGUAGGACAGAAUUCCAAAGAAAUCCACUAUUGUAGCAAAACGAUCAUACAAAAUGCAAAACUAUGAGUGAGGUGAAAAUAAGGCAGGGCAUUGAUAUAUGGACCUGAUAAAUCAACCUUACCCAGUGAAAAAUAAAAUAAAAUAAAACUAAAAAAUUGAGAAAUAGUUUUAAACAAUUAGAAUUUUAGAAAAAAAAAAUCUCAGAAAAGAUGUCAGACAUGAUAUUAANUUAGAAAAAAAAAAUCUCAGAAAAGAUGUCAGACAUGAUAUUAAAUAUUAAAAGAGUUUUAAAUAAAAAUCUCUUUCCUUCAUCCUCCUUUAAUAAAAGCAAAAUGAUAUCCGCUAUAAUAGAAACAGCAAAUUGUAGAACUUGACUGACUUCUUAUUGUCAAUAGGAACACUAGACAUCAGAUAAUAUAACAGAACGUUCGCUUCCGGUUUGUGAUAAUCAGGAAAUUCUCCACAUUUUCUAUCGAAAUAUUCAAAAUAAUUACCAUGCAACUCAAGUUGGGAAGAUUAGUGAUGUUGUGGAAUCAGCAUAGAUUUCCAACUAGCAUAUUAUAAUACCAUAGGUUAGGGGGUUGAUUGUUCAUGUCACCAAUUUAUACCAUUCCUUUAUAUUUGGAAUGGCAAGCGGGACAUGUAUAUUCUUGUCAAUAGCCAACUCAUGAUUUCCAUCAACUAUGGGAACGACAAAACCUCCAAAGCCAUGGCAUUGUUAUAUGCCACGCAGUUAGGAAUCAAGAAUGAUUCCACCACAUCACCAACACCUCUGACAACUUCCCAACUUGAAUUGCAUGGUGGUUACUUAAAUAUCUUCAAUAAAAAGUAUGGACUCCCAGAAUAUUACAAACAGUGAAAUGAACAGCCCAUAACAGCAGUCCAGUCCUGGAUCAUGAACAACAAAAGCAGCAUUUGUUUGCAGAAAUGGUCAUGCGACAUUACACCUUUUGUAGAAUUUGUUACAGAAACAAGAUACAAAUUGCUGACUUAGUGCAUUGCCUCAAGAAACAGGUAUACCACCUUACCAGAAAUGAUGCAAACUUUCUUGGCUAUCUCCCUUAAAAGCUGUUCUUGCUGCAGCUGCAUAGAACCUGUCCAAGCAAAAUAAAGCUAUCCAAUUUAGAAUCGGUCUCAAGGAUAUGGAAAAGUAGAUGACAAGACAAGAGCUACUAACAUUCCUAAGGUCAUAACAGUCAAGACACCAGAAACCUCCGCUGCAUCCUGUGCCUGUCAUGAAAUGAUAUGGAGGUGAGAGAUUUCUCCAAUAUGAGUAUCAAAAGUAAACUCAGGUCCUUAUGUUGCUUUAAUAUUGUAUCUUGAUCAAAUGGCUACAUUGAUGUUGAGGUGACCGGCUUUCUAGUAUUGCAAAGAAAGAUGUCUUCAUCAAUUACCCUCAUACAUCACUCUUUCAAAAUAACAAAUUGAAGAAAGGUGGUCGGUGAGCAAUAAGCAUUUGAAUAACAAUUUACAAUAGAUGCAAGCAUGACAUAGUAUCAGUGACAGUUAUGAUCUUACGGUGAAGUAAGCGAUGUAGCUAACAGCAAGAGUCAAUGUGAUCUCUAUAACUGUGUCGUUGAAAAUAAAGCCCAGCCACAAUACUGAUACUAUUCCAAAGGCUAGUCCCACAGCCACACUAGUCAAAGAAAGUAUUCAUUAGCAGGGCACCAUUUAAGGGGCCUGUUUUCAGAGGAAAGAGUGCAAUACAUACGCGCCAAGUGUAACUUGUGAAAGAAACUUUAUUAUGUUCCCCAUGUUGAAGCUCUGUCCCAUCACCAUUUGAUAGAACAACUGAUAGACGACAAUAGCAGUCCUGUACAAAGCACGAUAAUUAGCUCACAUAAUGAAGGGAAAAGUGGCACCGCAUAAAGCAUUUGUUGCAGGUUUCAAGGAAACUAGCAGUCAAAUAAGAUUCCCAUGUUAUGAAUAACAGUUUCUUGAUAUAAAGUCACAGAAGUGCCUUCUAGGAAUCCUUUUAAUCCACAAAGAAACAUCAAGCAAAACAAUGAUCUCAUUAGGCAAGUUUUAUUACUACCAUUCUAACAUUAUGUCCUUUAAAGAUUGUGUCUUAAUAUUAACUGACUUUAAGGACAAAUUCUUAGAAAUAUAAAUUAACCUUGGGGAAAUUAUAGAAAUCUUGGUGCCAGAAGAACUUAAAAAUAAUUAGAGGAAAAAAUAGAGAUGCAUGCAAACAAGAAAAAAAUAGAGAAAUGAGUUCUAUAUUGCCUCAUAUAGAAGAUAGCAAUUCAACAUGCAGAUUAAAAAUCAAAAAUGCAAAUAUUAACUCAACAGAGAUUUCCAGUAACCUAUGGAAACUACUUUUUGAGUUGUUAAUUCCUGUUUCCACGACAUGAUAAAACAGCAUUAUGCUUUGCCCAAAUUAAAGUUAUACUGAGGUGCUCCAUAUUCAAGUCAUCCUAGCCAUAUCAAUGUAUAUCAGACUCAAAUGUCCAACAUUUAUAGACAUGGAUAUAGAUUUAUAUAAAACAAUUGUUGCACCCUACAAUCUAUAAUUUCACUCCCAGCAAAAAGCAAACAACCCAGGCUCUCAUGUGCCAACAACGAUGCACAACGACAUUAAAUAACUAAGAGAAAUGGACUAAAAACAUUAAAUAACUAAGAGAAAUGGACUAAAAUUAUUGCAUUAAAAGUAUACCCGUCAUUCAUCAAUGACUCUCCCUCAAUUAUAGUGCUUAGCUUUUUGCUUGCUCCAAGUUCUUUUAGCAACGCCACAACAGCAACAGGAUCCGUGGCACUAAGUAGCCCUCCGAGUAACAAUGAUGUUUUCCAGUCCCAUUGAUAGGGAAAAGUGGCCUACAUCACAUAGCUCGGAUGAUUACCAUAACUCAGCAUCUUUAAAUAUUCAGGUUUGGAUGCAUACCUUCAAUGCAGCUCCGAGGCAAAAGGUCGAUAUUAGCACACCAGGUCCAGCAAGUAGUAGCAUUUGCACCAUGCAUUUCUGCAACAAGAGUUUAUAAUUACCAUUUCUAGGGACUAUAAGUACUUCAUUUAGCCAACAAACUAUGGUAAUAAGAGUAACCACAAUAUAGCAAGUUCUUCAACAGGAUAAAUCACUUUGAAGAAGAGCUAUAGAAAUGGACAAUUAAGGGAAAAGAGUAGAGUGCUAGUAGUUCUAGUAUCAAAGAAUACACUGUCUUUUAAUGGUCCAGCAAAGUGGUACAACUUAACAUACAUUUAUAUAAAAGCAGCUCAGCUCCAUCCUAACUCCUUACAGCCAAUGAAAUAAUCCUACUUCACUCACCAAGAGUUGGUCCACUAUGACUCAUAGUACACUUACUUGAAUGUGGAGUGCAAGAAACAGCACCAUUUUGUGCACAUACAAAAAGCAAGCACAUGCACAUGCAUAAAAGCAUGCCCAUAUCUUAGUUUCCCAUAUUUAAACGCACCCUGGUACCACUCAUUAACUGCCACAGCACAUUGGAUGAAACAACUGCAUGCUGCCAACAUCGUGCUGAUGUGUUUUUAUUUUCCACCAUAAAACCAUACUUUUCAUGCAUUUUUUGUAAGAAACAUAGAGAAAACGAACUUUGACAACAAUCCCAAGCUUCAUUACCACAACAAAAGAACAUACAGGAAAUUUGUGCAUAAACCAAAUAGUCCGAGAUGACAGCACUCCAAACACUCCACCCACGGAAAUUAAGGGCAACCCUCUUCGUAUAUGUACUAAUAUGCAUGCACGUUCACAUGCAUAUGCAUAAAGACCACCUAACACAGCCCCUCGCAGAAGCACACAAAGGCACUUCAUCACCACAGUAUGUUGUGAUGAUCAUUUAUUUAGCAUGUAUCAUAAGCAAUCUUUUGUGUAGCGUAGAGAGUAAUGAUAGUAAAUUGGAAAAGAGAUUUUUACUCUAGCUGAGGCAAAAGAUAUAAUCUCCUUUCACAAUACAUGCUAAUCAUAUACGAAAUUUCUACUGAUGCAAGGAUCAGGUCACAAUUAUGUCCUGUUUAAUAUUAUUGUCAACACAAACACAUGUAGGAAUUAAAAGCAAAACCAUCAUGGACUUUCUAUUCUACGAUAAUCAUCGAUUGAUCAAAAUCAUGAUACAUAACGGGCAGAUGUGCUACCGAAAUGUAGAAGAAAUGAAUCAAAAUCUACAUGCCAAGAAAAGAUAAACAUAUAUUUACGUACCUUUAUUUGGUGCACUUCCAUGGCAAAAGAGCUCUCAAACAGAAGAGCAGGAAGAAAAACAGCUAAAAGAAGAUUAGGAUUUAUGUUUGCCCCUACAGAAAAGCAUAGUCAAUCAGCUCAGUGCAAUUCAAGGAGAAAAACCUUCUAUUGUCAAUUUUCGCCACACGCCAUUCGAGAAUUAAACUCUUCAAACAAUGACUUACAAAGACGAAUUCCAGCCCCCAGUUUGCCUAUGCCAUGUUUUGUCCCAUAUUCUAAACAAAAAAUACAGAAGUACUUUUAGACACUAUUUAAAGCGUAAAAGUGCCACUGUGCCAGCAACUGUAAAAAUUAAAGAUGAAAAUUAUUAUUGGAAAAAAAAAAAAGUCAUAUCAUACAGUAUGAAUCGAAUGAUAAAGAUGGAAACACCAAAUUUACAUGCUUAGUCACUUUGAUAGUUUAUGGUUAUGAUCUCAGAUGACUAAUCUAGAGGACGACAGGGUACGAGCAAGAUACUGUACAAAAUUUUCCUUUUUUUAUUGUUUUCCUUUUAAUUCAAAGACUAGGGUAAAAGCAUGAGCCAAAAUUUCAGAGAAAAUAAUCAGAACAGUGCAAGUAAAGAGCUGAUAACAUGAUUGAACAGCUCACAACAUGCAUACCCUACCAACAUAAACAAUCCACAAGAAAAAUCAACAAUACUUAUAAUUAUAACGCAGUAUUAGCCAAACAACAGACUCCAAGUACAAGGCAUUUGCAACUACAUCAAUCUAAAUGGGGCCUCAGAGAAGAUAACAAAGCAAAUGAAUAGCUUUACUAUCUAUUAUUAUGAUUUUCGUGAUUGUUCAAAGCAAUAUCAUAUAUUCUAUGAGACAUUCCUAAGCCCUUCUUGAUUACUAUUAAUAGCAUUAAAUCCCAGUUCCUCAUGUCCUUUAUGAGUAACAGCUAAAACAGUUUACAAGUACCGCUCUUGUACAGAUAUAACACAAGGAUUAAAUGAUCAGGACAAAGUACCGAAAUAGUAUCCAUAACGGAAUAUUUAUGACGCUUAGUUACACCAUGGUCACUACACUAUAUCGGACUUUUCACUUCGGUUCCUAACUAUUUAUUCCUUUCAAUUAAGAUCCUGCUUGUUUCGCCGAAGAUGAAGUUUAGGUUGAAAUAGACUUUCGGGUGAAUUAGAGUUCAGGUGAAAAUUACUUUUCUUCUGUUGUUUGUUUGCAUAGCUGUAGAACUAAAGUUUUUCCGGUUAUGAUUUUUGUUUAGCAAGAAAUGGGUGGCGUAAAAGUGGGAGGUAUGACAGAUGGGUUUAUUCCUUUUCCUCUCUUUCUUUUUCCAUAAUCGACUUCGGACUGGGGUGGGCCGAUUAUGAUGUUUCAGAGGGUUUUAAUUUCGGCCGAAGAUGAAAUUAUAGUAACGAAAGUGGGAAUUUAUGGCCGAAAACCACUUCACUCUUCACUCUUGGUGAAACAAAUACACCAUUUUUGAAAGAAAAACACUAGCAGGUCGUGCCAAUCGAGCCCCUUUCAUCAAAAUGCUUGCUAAUUCAAAUGAAAAUUGUCACAUAAUAGCUUGCUCCAUGGCAACUUUCAGCAAGGUCCUUUUUUUGACGCCAACAACUUGAUUGAAAUAAAUGACAAAUAUUAGGAACUUAGUCGCAAAAAUUAAAAGAUUAACAACAAAAUCAAAAAAUUAGACAAAGGAUGGAGUAAAUAACCCAAUUCGUGAAAAAUUUACUGAGUGGCCAACACAAGAAUAUAAGGUACAGAGAUUAAAAAUCAAAUAUAGAAAAGGAGCCAAGGUUUUUUUCUCUUAAAAAAAAAAAGUAAACUUCAAAUUGCUACCUUGUAAUUUAAUUCAUUUUUUACUUUGUUAUCCUGUGGUUCAAAAAGUUAUACUUAUCUCUUAUGUGGAUUACGGCUUUUUUAUUUUGCUAUCCCGUGAUUUAAAAAGUUACACUUAACUAUCUUAUGGUUAGCACAUAGUUUUUCAAAAGAUUUACUUUUGCCACCUUAUUUGACAUAGAAUUUUUUUUGUGAAAUAAAAAAUAAAACCACAUGUUAGUUAAGUGCAACUUUUGAAACCACAAGAUAGUAAAAUAAAAAUGCCCUAAACCAUAGAAAAAUUAAAUAUAACUUUUGAAAAAGAGGAUGGCAAAAUAAAAAUAAGUUAUACUACAAAGGAGCAAAUUAAAUUAAAGUUCACCCAAAAGAGAGCUAUACUAUGCGUAUACUCCUAAGUGGAUGUAAAUAAUAUAGGGAAAACUUCAAAAACCCCCUCUGUGGUUUCACACUAUUUUAUUUUAGUACCCUGUGGUUUAAAGUGUAUCAAGUUAGUACCCUGUGGUUUUGCACUUUAUCACUUUAGUACCCUGUGGUUUCACACUUUAUCACUUUAGUACCCUAUAGUUUAAAAAACCACAGGGUACUAAUUUAAUACAAAAUCAAAACCACAGGGUACUAAAGUGAUAAAAUGCAAAACCACAGGGUACUAACUUGAUACACUUUAAACCACAGGAUACUAAAGUGAUAAAGUGAGAAACCACAAGGUACUAACUUGAUACAUUUUAAACCACAGGGUACUAAAGUGAAAAAAAUUGAAACCACAUAGGGGGUUUUUGAAGUUUUCCCAAUAAUAUAUCCCGUCAAUCCAAUGGGUUAGGUUUCUCUACUGAUCAUAUCAAUACGACGGAUAAUAAAAAAACUACACUCGCAGAAUAGGUGGAAUGCAUAUCAUACGCCCCAAGGAAUAUGACGAGAGUUGUAUGUUUACCCAAAAAAACAAAUAUAGAAAAGAGUUAAUUGUACCAGUGGUCCCCCAAAACCUAAAACCUUUUUAAUUUUUUUCAUUUUGGUCCCUAAUAAUUUGCUCUUCUACUUUUACAGGUAACUAAUAAUGUAUGUUUCUUGUUUCAGGACAAACCACUUCUUCGGUCCCCAAAAAUUAGAUCUAUUUCCUUGUCUAGCCUCUUUGGAAAUAAAAAUUCCCUAUCAUUCUAGCCUCCUUUUAAGAAAUAUUCCUAACCUAGCCUCAUUUUUAUAGAUUAGAAAAAAAAAUAAAUUAAUAUCUUUAAUAUAUAUUAAUAUGUACAGCCUCAUUUUAAUUUAUAAUUUACUAAAUUAUAAUUUUUUAUUAUUACUACUAUUAAAGGUAUGUUAACAUAUUAAUUAAUAUAUAUUAAAGGUAUUAAUUUAUCUCUUUUUUCCUAAUCCAUAAAAAUGAGGCUAGAUUAGGAAUAUUUUUAAUUUAUAGCCUAAUUUUUAAUUUUUAAUUUACUAAUUUAUAAUUUACUAAAUUAUAUUUUUUUAUUAUUACUACUAUUAAAGGUAUGUUAACAUUAAUUAAUAUAUAUUAAAGGUAUUAAUUUACUUUUUUUUUUUCUAAUCUAUAAAAAUAAGGCUAGAUAGGAAAUUUUAUUUUCAAAGAGGCUGGACAAGAAAAUAGAUCAAAAAAUUAAGGGAAGGGUUUGGGCACUGUCGUGGUCGCUCAGAGUCAUUUAUUAGAGAACAAAAAAAAAAAAAAAAAAAAAAAAAAAAAAAAAUAAGAGAGACAGAGAGAAAAGCGAAAAAAACAAAAAGGAAGAGUUGAUUGUGGGACAAAUUGGGAACUCGUGAGAGAGAUACUGGCUUUACCUCGAAGUAGAAAAUGUGAUAUGUGUAUUUAUCGUAGCAAAAUCGAUUGGAUCAAUAGCGGUUAAAAAAACGACGCAUGAGGAGGAGAGAGAGUGGAGUUGGAGAUGGAGGUUAGAGAGGAGAGAGACUGAAGAGAGGAGAGAGAUCCUAAGGUAGCAAGAGGGCGAGCCGAGGAGCGAGGAGUUGCUGGUACGGAUUAGGGGACGGGCUGCGCGGAAGGGGAGGUGGCGCGCGCGCUGAUCCAGCCAGCGAGAUGCCCUACGAAACACACUUCGCAUAUGCGGCGCGGCCCGCCGCAUCCGCGCCGGCGGCCGCCGUGGCCGAGCGGCAUGCCUCGCCACGCCGCGUCAUCUUUCGCGUCGCCUCUCUCCUGCCUGCCUCCUCUCGCGGCCGACGACGGCCGACGACGACGACCGAGACUAAAGAUAAGGUCAAGUCGAGAACGAGAUCAAGAGUAAUGAUGGGGGAGGAGGGGUGUUUGUUAGGUAGGGCAGGCGCAAUGGGCAUAGAGGGUGUCAAGCAAGUGAGGAGGAGAGAGGUGGGGUUGUUGAGGUUGUAGAGUGAUCAGACGGGGUCGCCAAGUUUUCUUUAAUCGAUGGUGUUAGAAGUAAUAUCCAAAGACGACAAUCCAGUCUUUCAGAAUAUUAUAUAAUCUAUAAUAAUAAUUUUAUACUAGGUGUGGGGCUACUAUACUUAUUAUGAGGUAGUGGAGAGGCCUUGUACUUGAUAAAUUUGCAGUGCGGUUUCGAUAUAUGAAAGAUAUAUUGAUGUCGAUGGAAAGUUAGUUUACUUUAGUGUUUGAUGUGGGCCGACCUAGGGGUUGAGUGUGGGUGUGAUUGGUUGGGAAUAUAAUAAGUAUGAUACGGAGUGAAAAUUGAUUGGAAGGGGGUAGAUGUACGGCCAAAAACUUAUGAAGAAAUGGCUCUUACUCAUAAAAGUAUAAUAAGGACUCGUAUAAUAUAGGUCUUGUAUAUAGGUAUAUAUUUAUAGUAUAUAUUAUAUGAUCAUUCGAGUGAUUAUUGGUGUUAUGUCUUGCGCAAAUGCUAAGGGGUUUAGUGGUUGGUAUCUAAUAUCCUAAUUUUGAAUCUCAGUUGAUUCACUUUUUUAGUUAAAUUUAUUUCUAAGAACGUGUUUCAAUCCUCGUAAAACAGCUCUAAAAAAUAUUUUUUCGAUGAAAAACUAUUUUCCUUUGUUUUGUCGUCCGUAAAAAUUUUUCAAAAAAAUUUGUUCACAGAUUCUCAGAAAACGAAAUGAAGUUUUUUCAUUUUCUGCUCGCGUCGAGCCGAAAAUGAAAACCUCGCGCUGAAAAUCACGGCGCUUCGCGCUGAAAAAUCACGGCGCAGGAACUGUUAACAUAGGGUCAACCAGGUGAACUUCACCUCGUGGACCGCGUGAAGGAGAGUCCAUGAGGGACCAUACCCACUCUCUCUCUCUCUCUCUCGUUCAUUAUGUGUGUGUAAUAUAUAUAUAUAUAUAUAUAUAUAUAUCUAUAUAUAUAAUGUAGAGCUACUAUGCUAUCAAAAAUAUAGAAGAUUUGAAUGUUUCGAUUUUUUGACACAUGGAUAAGAAUUGUACGAUUGGAGAUGUGCGGAUUCGGUAUCCCUAAAGUUGAGUAGUAUCUCUAGGUUUAUAUAUUAUUAUAGAGAAUAUAUUAUUAUAUAAUAUUAUAUUUAUAAAAUUUUUAUAAAUAUAUAGUGAUUUAUUUUUAGUACUAAAUAUAAAUACUAAUUAUGUAUUAUAUUAUAUCUUAUUGUAUAAAUUUUUAAUUUUAUUUAUUUAUAAAACCUAUAAUAUAAUAUAUAUAUAUAUAGUAAUAAUAAUUAUUGUAUAUUAAUAAUAUAUAAAUAAUAUAUAAUAAUAAAAGAAUAUAAAUAGUUUUUCUAUUUUUUUUCCUUUUUUUUUUUUUGUUCUUUCAACCAAACAACCGAUAUAAAAUAUAUGCUAUAUAUCUCUAAAUAUAUAACUCUUAUAUAUUAUGUAAUAUAUUUAUUAUAAUUUUAAAUAUAUUUAACCUAUAAAUAGAAAUUAUAAUAAUAAUAUAUAGUAUAUAAUAAUAUUAUAUAUUAAUAAUAUAUAUAAUAAAAAAUAUAUCAAAUAAUUUUUCAUCUAUUGUUUUCCUUUCAACCAAACUACACUCAUGAAAAUUUUUUUUUUUUUUACAAAUCAAAUACUAAACGACGUAAAUCUUUUUUCCACCGAUUUUUUUUUUUUACAAUUUUACGUGGAAUCAAACACACUCUAAAAUAAAAUAAACGAAGCGGGUAGUAUAGCCGAUUGUCAAAUCUGUCUCGCUACUUUUGAAAGCGUAGAAGCCUAAUUUCUAUGCUUAGAUUACAACGAAUUAAAGUUUGAGUUCCAAAAUAUAAUUUAUCCAUUCUUUUAUUAUGGUGAAAAAGCUAAUGUAUGAGAAAAAAAAUCACGUAAAAUUUCAAUUUGACUUUCUCUGGUUUAGCUUAUUUUUAUGUGCCAUCAUAUGGUUUUUGCACUUAACUAUCUAUAGUUUAGUUUAUUUUCAGUUUACUUCGUUGUUGUUCAAAAAUUUUCACUUAACUAUUCUUUAUCUAUUAUAAAAUUUUACUUCGCUAUCCUAUUAAAUAGUAAAAUUUUUGAAUAAAAAUAAAUAUAAAACUAUUGGAUAAUUAAAUACAAUUUUGUAAAUUAUAAAAUAAUAAAGUAAAAUAUCCGCUAAACAACUUGAAAAAAUCCGAUUGAAGUGUGACCUUUAGCAAAACACAUGAUUUGUCAACCUGUUACGUAUGCAUUUUUUUAAAAGUUCUUAUAAAACAUAUUUCAUAAAAUAAUAAAGUAUCACAAGUGAAUCUACAGUAAAGUCAACUUUCUCUGCUUUUCACUUUUCUUAAAAAUUUAUUAAAAUAUUAUCAAUCAUUACUCUAAAAAAUAUUUAAAUAUUUUUUAUAAUAUUUUAAGGCAGUGUUUGGUUAGGAGAUAAGAAUAAAGAUAGGCCCUUAUUCCCCUUUAUAUUCAAACACUAAUUUUUUAUCCGAAAACAGUAGUUCUCGGUUACCUACAAUAACCAGUUAUAACUAUCCCCACCAACACCUCUAUUUUCUAUAUAAAACUAUCUAAUAUUUUUCUUAUUCCAUAUUAUCUAUCCAAAUGCUAUUUUUCUUAUCCCCGAAAAUAAUUCAAUUUUCAUCCAAACACUAUUUUUCUUAUCCCCAUAUUUGUACAUAUCCCUAGCUAGUUCUUGUUUAUACCCGAACCAAACGGUACCUAAGAUGCCUACCAAAAGCCUAACUUAAGAGGCAUUUUGGUUCCGCCUAAAAAGAAUCAAAAAAAUAUUUUCCGUACGAAAAAUAUUUUUUUUGACUGUUUAGCUCCUCGUCAAAAUAUUUCUAUAAAUUUGAAAAAUAUUAAAGUUUCCACUUCUCCGUUUUUUUCAACAUAAAACGAAAGUUCAAACGCCGUAAAAAUUUAUUUAUUCAACUUUUUUACUGAACUAAAUAAAUAUAAAUUUUACCAAAUAUUACAAAAUAUAAAAAUAUUCUCCACCAAUUUUUUUUCAAAAAAAUACUUUUUAUGAUUUUACAGUUGAAGCAAACGGACAUUAAGCCCAAAAGUAUAUAGACUUUUAGGAAUUAUUAAAAUUAAAAAUAUUUUCUGCACAAGGUAUAUCAAUGUAUCUCAUGCACAAUUUAAUGAUUAAUAAUCUAAAUUUAAUAAAGGAUUAAUUUCAAACAGAUUCCUGUAAAUAUAGUAAAUGACAAAUAUAUCCUUACAAAGUUGAACUGUCAUAUUUUGUCCCUAUAAAAGUUAUGAUGUUUUCAAACAUAUCUCUGCCGUUAGAAUCCGGUAGAAAAAGUUAGUUAAUCAUAGAUUAAAUACUUAAUCCUGAUUAGUUAUUGACAUUUUUACCCCUCUUAUAUUAUACUGUUAUAGCUUUUGUAGGGAUAUAUUUGUGAUAGCAAAAUUAAAAAUAUAAACAAUUCUCUAAUGGUAACAAACCAAAAUAGCAUAUUUAAAAUUCAAGACUUUUGUAAAAAUAAUAUAUAAAAAUUAAACUUUAUAGUGAUAUAUUUAUCAUUUAUUAUGUUUGCGGGAUUGAAACAUCCCUUAAAUAAAUUUCAGCAAGUAGAUGUUACUAGUGAAGACCCGCGCUUCAUUGCGGGAAAUUUAUGUCAUUUUUAAAACCUCUUGAAUAGACUAUUUUUUAUUAUUCAAAAUUUAAAUUUAAAUGUAGAAUAAAAAAUAUUGAAGCUUAAAAUUUAAAUUUUAAUAUAUCAAAUUGAAAUUUCAAUAUUUAGAAUUUAAUAUUUAGAUUUUUCUAAUUCAAUUUAUAAUGUAAUAUAUAUUUAAAAUAUUGCAAUUUGAAAUUUUAAUAUAUAUAUAGAGUAGAAAAAUCUAAUUGUUGUAUUUAAAUUUAAAGUUUAAAUUAAAUUUUUAUUUUUUUGUAUGUGAGUCACAAUACGAAAAAAAAAUUGGAAAAGAAAAAAAAAAAAGAAGAGAGAGAGAAAUUAUAGUAUAUUUAGAGAUUUAUAUAUAUACUACUCUCUCUCUCAUAUAUAUAUAAUAUAAAUUUGAAUAGAAAAUUUUAAUUUGUAUUUAAUAUUUAAAGUUUAAAUUUAAAUUUUAUAUUUUUUGUACGUGAGUCACAAUACUAAAAAAAAAAUUGGGGAAAAAAAAAAAUUUACUCAUUGUAAAAUGAACUUAUUACUAUAUAUAGAUAACAAAUGCUAGUUAUUAUUAAUUAAAAAUUAAACAUUAUUAGAGUAGUUUUCUAUGCUUUCGAAAGCACAGAAGUUUACGUAUGUGUAAGUUAUUUUCGAUAAUAAAACUUUCGAUUCGACGAUCAGUUUCAUUAUAGGGUCCCACAAAAAAAGAUACAAAAAAAAUGCCGCUCCAGCCACGCUCGCGCACGGCUCUCCGCUCGCGCAGCAAAUCCAUCAAAAUAAAGAGAUUCGAAUUAAAAUUAAAUUUUAAUUUAUAUUUAAUAUUUAUAUUUAUAUUUAAAAUUUAAAUUUUUUGUAUGUGAUUGCAAUAGUACAAAUAAAAACAAAAGUUCGAAAAAGAAAAAAAAAGAAAGAGAGAGAGAAGAAGUGGAAGUAGAAAAGAGCAAAAAAAAAAAAAAAAAGAGAGAAAGAAAGAAGGAGUGGAUCCGUAAGGACUGAGAUUUUUACAGUGCAACUAAAUGCUCUGUUAUGAUGUUAUGGUGUGUAAUUUAUUACAUAAGCACUAUCGUCAAGUUUCAGGAGAAAAUGACUAAAAUGGAGAAGUUGCGUGAUUAUUAGUUUCACUUAAGUGAAUAGUAACUCCGAUUUUUCGGAAAGCUACGGAGUAGAGUUGGCUUUCGGCGCGUACGACUCCCGUUCAUAGCGAUCCAAAUAGCUCAUUUUGAACGUUCAAGCUAUUCUGGAACCAAUGUCACUGACGGAUUUCAGAUUUGAUGCACGGUUUUCGAGAAAGGAGUUUUUACCGAAAAGAGGUUCCGCUCUUUGCUUUCUGUGCAUUUUAAAACUCCUCGUGCUCUGGCUUGUGACCCGGGGUUAGGUGAGAGUUGUUUUCUAGUACCUACUGGUGGUAGGGAUGCAAAUUUGAAUUGAAUUAAAGAUUUAGGUUUUUAUGCUUUGGUAUAUGUGCGAUAUACGGAUUAAUAGAGAGCGGAUGGGUUUUUGUCCGAAAUCCGUGACCAAAUUGGACGAAUCAACAUUGUAGUUUUGAUGCCCCCCGAACGUGCUGAACGCAAUGGUGCUGUCGGAUCGAAAAUUCCGACUGACGGAUCUCCGGAAUUACGAGAUUUCGCUGAGGUCAAAGUGGCAAAACGGAUAAAUCGCGAAGAGACCCUAUAUUUUAUGUGCCGAAUUGCGUGAGAUCGGACAUGGAGGUGUGUAUGUGUAAAAUACGCAUGCGUGAGAGAUUGACUGAGAAUAUUUAUCCCUGGGAGGACUAUCUUGCAAGGUGCAUAUGUAAAUAGUAGUUGCACUAGGUUUUCGUGAGGAAACCCUAGCUUUUGCCUCUCCUCAGCCGACCGAGCCCUAGCCGCCCAUCUCUCCCUGCCCAACCGUGCGACGCCCGGCCGCCAGCGAUGAGCUACCUCGGCCGCGGAAAAGCCACCCCGACCUCUUCUCUUGCUCUCUCGGCCACCCUCUCCCUCCGACUUCGCCGAAGUUGCGAAGGAAGUUCUUUCACCCUUGGAGCAUCAUCCUCUGGCCGAGGCCCAUUCCGGCGUCCUCCCCGCCAAGCCCGGCCACCCCCGAGCGGGCUCGCCAGAUCCACGCCCCUGCUCCUUGCGCCAACUCGGGUCAACGCCAGACCGCGAGCCAGCUCGAAUUGCGCCACGCCGUUUACUUCGUGGUGUCCCCCUCAUCCGUCGGCGCCGCCGGCUAACCUCCGCGACCGGCGCGCCGCGCGUACCCCCGCGUCCCGGUGCCGCCGCGGGCCAGCGCCCGCUGGAACCUCCUGUGGCCGCCCAGACACGUGCGGGCCGAGGUCGGGCCCGCUCGGCUUCCAAGCGCCGCCGCCGCCCACCGUGGGGUGCAUCGCCUUCCCCUCGGACUCUGGCGCCGCACCGUAGCCACCCCGACCUCCUCCGGCCGCCACCGCGCCGCCGGGAAGCUCGAACCCGAGAGGGUGCUGGGGGAGUGGAUCUCAGCCGCCGCGCCACCGGUUGCCCCCCGUCGCCGGCCAGUACCCGCCCCGGACCUCUCGGACCGACUGCUCCCUCCCGGCCGCCGGCGGCCAACCCUAGCUCCCUGCACUCCGGUAUGCUAUUGUUGUAUGUUCCAACACUGUAGUUUAGGGUUCCGGUCACCUUUCUGGUGGUCCGAGGACACUCCGAUAAUCCGGGAAGUGAGCACGAUGAUCCUUACCUCGUGCUGAACAUCGUGCUCACCUCCGACAGCGGCAAAGAUGCCCUGGUUAGUGAGUUAGUCGCGAACUUCGCGCUGUGCGCGCAGUUUAACAGAACUUCGCGUCGCUCGUGCGCGCACCGUAGUGGCCGGCAGUGCUCCGAAAGGUGAGCACGGCCUCCGACAUGCUGAAACCUGUCAGCGAGUACGACGGUCGGAUUAAUCGACCUCUGGUUUGCGUGCACGGUCCAGAAAAGCCUAGAAAACACAUGAAAUGAUGCGAUUUCAUGUAUCGGUAUGGGCUUUUAGGAUUUCUGCUUCGUUGUAGAUGCUGUUGGCAGCAUGUUUGGGCUNNNNNNNNNNNNNNNNNNNNNNNNNNNNNNNNNNNNNNNNNNNNNNNNNNNNNNNNNNNNNNNNNNNNNNNNNNNNNNNNNNNNNNNNNNNNNNNNNNNNNNNNNNNNNNNNNNNNNNNNNNNNNNNNNNNNNNNNNNNNNNNNNNNNNNNNNNNNNNNNNNNNNNNNNNNNNNNNNNNNNNNNNNNNNNNNNNNNNNNNNNNNNNNNNNNNNNNNNNNNNNNNNNNNNNNNNNNNNNNNNNNNNNNNNNNNNNNNNNNNNNNNNNNNNNNNNNNNNNNNNNNNNNNNNNNNNNNNNNNNNNNNNNNNNNNNNNNNNNNNNNNNNNNNNNNNNNNNNNNNNNNNNNNNNNNNNNNNNNNNNNNNNNNNNNNNNNNNNNNNNNNNNNNNNNNNNNNNNNNNNNNNNNNNNNNNNNNNNNNNNNNNNNNNNNNNNNNNNNNNNNNNNNNNNNNNNNNNNNNNNNNNNNNNNNNNNNNNNNNNNNNNNNNNNNNNNNNNNNNNNNNNNNNNNNNNNNNNNNNNNNNNNNNNNNNNNNNNNNNNNNNNNNNNNNNNNNNNNNNNNNNNNNNNNNNNNNNNNNNNNNNNNNNNNNNNNNNNNNNNNNNNNNNNNNNNNNNNNNNNNNNNNNNNNNNNNNNNNNNNNNNNNNNNNNNNNNNNNNNNNNNNNNNNNNNNNNNNNNNNNNNNNNNNNNNNNNNNNNNNNNNNNNNNNNNNNNNNNNNNNNNNNNNNNNNNNNNNNNNNNNNNNNNNNNNNNNNNNNNNNNNNNNNNNNNNNNNNNNNNNNNNNNNNNNNNNNNNNNNNNNNNNNNNNNNNNNNNNNNNNNNNNNNNNNNNNNNNNNNNNNNNNNNNNNNNNNNNNNNNNNNNNNNNNNNNNNNNNNNNNNNNNNNNNNNNNNNNNNNNNNNNNNNNNNNNNNNNNNNNNNNNNNNNNNNNNNNNNNNNNNNNNNNNNNNNNNNNNNNNNNNNNNNNNNNNNNNNNNNNNNNNNNNNNNNNNNNNNNNNNNNNNNNNNNNNNNNNNNNNNNNNNNNNNNNNNNNNNNNNNNNNNNNNNNNNNNNNNNNNNNNNNNNNNNNNNNNNNNNNNNNNNNNNNNNNNNNNNNNNNNNNNNNNNNNNNNNNNNNNNNNNNNNNNNNNNNNNNNNNNNNNNNNNNNNNNNNNNNNNNNNNNNNNNNNNNNNNNNNNNNNNNNNNNNNNNNNNNNNNNNNNNNNNNNNNNNNNNNNNNNNNNNNNNNNNNNNNNNNNNNNNNNNNNNNNNNNNNNNNNNNNNNNNNNNNNNNNNNNNNNNNNNNNNNNNNNNNNNNNNNNNNNNNNNNNNNNNNNNNNNNNNNNNNNNNNNNNNNNNNNNNNNNNNNNNNNNNNNNNNNNNNNNNNNNNNNNNNNNNNNNNNNNNNNNNNNNNNNNNNNNNNNNNNNNNNNNNNNNNNNNNNNNNNNNNNNNNNNNNNNNNNNNNNNNNNNNNNNNNNNNNNNNNNNNNNNNNNNNNNNNNNNNNNNNNNNNNNNNNNNNNNNNNNNNNNNNNNNNNNNNNNNNNNNNNNNNNNNNNNNNNNNNNNNNNNNNNNNNNNNNNNNNNNNNNNNNNNNNNNNNNNNNNNNNNNNNNNNNNNNNNNNNNNNNNNNNNNNNNNNNNNNNNNNNNNNNNNNNNNNNNNNNNNNNNNNNNNNNNNNNNNNNNNNNNNNNNNNNNNNNNNNNNNNNNNNNNNNNNNNNNNNNNNNNNNNNNNNNNNNNNNNNNNNNNNNNNNNNNNNNNNNNNNNNNNNNNNNNNNNNNNNNNNNNNNNNNNNNNNNNNNNNNNNNNNNNNNNNNNNNNNNNNNNNNNNNNNNNNNNNNNNNNNNNNNNNNNNNNNNNNNNNNNNNNNNNNNNNNNNNNNNNNNNNNNNNNNNNNNNNNNNNNNNNNNNNNNNNNNNNNNNNNNNNNNNNNNNNNNNNNNNNNNNNNNNNNNNNNNNNNNNNNNNNNNNNNNNNNNNNNNNNNNNNNNNNNNNNNNNNNNNNNNNNNNNNNNNNNNNNNNNNNNNNNNNNNNNNNNNNNNNNNNNNNNNNNNNNNNNNNNNNNNNNNNNNNNNNNNNNNNNNNNNNNNNNNNNNNNNNNNNNNNNNNNNNNNNNNNNNNNNNNNNNNNNNNNNNNNNNNNNNNNNNNNNNNNNNNNNNNNNNNNNNNNNNNNNNNNNNNNNNNNNNNNNNNNNNNNNNNNNNNNNNNNNNNNNNNNNNNNNNNNNNNNNNNNNNNNNNNNNNNNNNNNNNNNNNNNNNNNNNNNNNNNNNNNNNNNNNNNNNNNNNNNNNNNNNNNNNNNNNNNNNNNNNNNNNNNNNNNNNNNNNNNNNNNNNNNNNNNNNNNNNNNNNNNNNNNNNNNNNNNNNNNNNNNNNNNNNNNNNNNNNNNNNNNNNNNNNNNNNNNNNNNNNNNNNNNNNNNNNNNNNNNNNNNNNNNNNNNNNNNNNNNNNNNNNNNNNNNNNNNNNNNNNNNNNNNNNNNNNNNNNNNNNNNNNNNNNNNNNNNNNNNNNNNNNNNNNNNNNNNNNNNNNNNNNNNNNNNNNNNNNNNNNNNNNNNNNNNNNNNNNNNNNNNNNNNNNNNNNNNNNNNNNNNNNNNNNNNNNNNNNNNNNNNNNNNNNNNNNNNNNNNNNNNNNNNNNNNNNNNNNNNNNNNNNNNNNNNNNNNNNNNNNNNNNNNNNNNNNNNNNNNNNNNNNNNNNNNNNNNNNNNNNNNNNNNNNNNNNNNNNNNNNNNNNNNNNNNNNNNNNNNNNNNNNNNNNNNNNNNNNNNNNNNNNNNNNNNNNNNNNNNNNNNNNNNNNNNNNNNNNNNNNNNNNNNNNNNNNNNNNNNNNNNNNNNNNNNNNNNNNNNNNNNNNNNNNNNNNNNNNNNNNNNNNNNNNNNNNNNNNNNNNNNNNNNNNNNNNNNNNNNNNNNNNNNNNNNNNNNNNNNNNNNNNNNNNNNNNNNNNNNNNNNNNNNNNNNNNNNNNNNNNNNNNNNNNNNNNNNNNNNNNNNNNNNNNNNNNNNNNNNNNNNNNNNNNNNNNNNNNNNNNNNNNNNNNNNNNNNNNNNNNNNNNNNNNNNNNNNNNNNNNNNNNNNNNNNNNNNNNNNNNNNNNNNNNNNNNNNNNNNNNNNNNNNNNNNNNNNNNNNNNNNNNNNNNNNNNNNNNNNNNNNNNNNNNNNNNNNNNNNNNNNNNNNNNNNNNNNNNNNNNNNNNNNNNNNNNNNNNNNNNNNNNNNNNNNNNNNNNNNNNNNNNNNNNNNNNNNNNNNNNNNNNNNNNNNNNNNNNNNNNNNNNNNNNNNNNNNNNNNNNNNNNNNNNNNNNNNNNNNNNNNNNNNNNNNNNNNNNNNNNNNNNNNNNNNNNNNNNNNNNNNNNNNNNNNNNNNNNNNNNNNNNNNNNNNNNNNNNNNNNNNNNNNNNNNNNNNUUGUACUCUUGUACUUGUGCGACGCCGUGCAAAUACAGGGGAGACUCUGUCCGUGUGAACUGUGGAUCUCCUGUAUUUGUGGCGGAUCUGGCAUACCCUGGGGUCAGGUUUUCAAAAAAAAAAAAAUUUCAGACGCUUUUCUGCUAUGCUUUAAACUAAAAAGGGACCCCGGGGCGUGACAGAUCCACAGGAUAAAAAAAAUUACAAAAAAAUUAAAAUAAGAGAGAAAGAAAGAGAGGAGCUGAAGUUAGAAAAGGAGAGAGAGAGAGAGAGAGAGAGAGAGAGAGGGAGAGAGAGAGGAGUGAAAGUUAGAAAAGAAAAAGAGAGAGGGAGAGAGAUAGAGAGAGAGAGAGAGAGGAAGUGGAGUCAACAGGAGAAAAAGCAAAAACAGAAAAAAAAAAAAAAAUCCGCACCGCGCUAGCUCUCCGCCCACGCCGCCAGGCGCCCCUACCGCGCGCAUCCCCCGUAGCCCCCGCCUGCUCGGCGACGCUCCUUGCAGUCCCGCCGCUUGCCCCAGCGCGCCUGCGCGCCUGCCCGCUGCUCAGCGCCCAGCCCGCCGUGCGGCUUCGCUCCCGCGCGACGCAGCCCCUCGGCGUUGUGCCCGUUUCGCCAGACCGGCGCCCACAGCCGCCACUAGCGCGCGGCGACCGGCCGAGUCACCCGCGCCCUCGCGUCUUCCGCCUUCCCGCUGGCCGCCCGCAUCCCCGCCUCACCCUCUCUCGCCGCUGCGCCCAGGUGACCGCGCUGGGGAGAGGGCAGAGAGAUAGAUGAGAGCGGGGGGGGGGGGGGAGAGGUUGAAGAGAGGGGGGGAAGAGAGGAAGAGAGCAGAGAGAAGGGGGUGGGGGGAGAGGCCCGGAGACCAGGAAAGAAGGAGAGGUAAAGAAAGGAGGCGGGAGAGAGGAGACUCACUCUCUCUUUCUCCUUCUCCCACGGCGAGGCCGCCUUGGGCCCUGCAUGUUCCGCCCCUUGGGACCCCAUUGUUCGCCCUCUCUCUCUCUAUCUCUCUCUCUUGCGCGCGCGCCCCCAUGCGCGGGGGGCGCGGGUCGGGUACCCCGGCACCCCCGUGUCCCCCUCUCUCUCUCUCUAUCUCUCUCUCGCUCUCCCGGUCGACCCUCGCGCGGAAGGCGCGCGGGCGCGGGCCCCUUGGGACCCCCCUUGUCCCCCCUCUCUCUCUCUCCCUCUCUCUCUCUCUGUCUGCUCUCUCUCUAUCUCUCUCUCCCUCUCUCUCUCUCUCUGUCUGCUCUCUCUCCCUCUCUCUCUCUCUCUGUCUGCUCUCUCUCUCUCUCUCGCGCGCGCGCGAGGCCCCCAAAACGCGGGGAGCGUGCCGUACAAACUCAACUUUCAUUAUAUGUAUAGAUAGCUACGCGCAUGCAUAAAGACUUUUUUAUGGACAGCGUUACGUUUGUUUCUGCAAAAGAUAAGUUAUUUUGAUGCAUUAUUUAAUUUCAAUAAAAUAAUAAGAGCAAAGUUUAAAAGUCAUAAAAAAAAGUAAUAUAUUUUUGCAAUUAUUAGGGCCCUGGCAUUUGACCAUAAAUAUUCAAAUGCUCAGUUGGUAAGCCACAAAUGACACCUUUAUGGUUUUAUCCAAACACUUGACUUUUCUAAAAUAAUUUUUUUUGGGGUUAAUUACACAAUAGUCCCUAACCUUUGCACUAAUUUUCACUUGGUGAUCCCCAACCUUUUUAUUUUUGCAAUCGAGCCCCUAAUUUCUUGAUUUUAUUGCAAUUGUCUCCCACCGGUUAAAACAGGUGUUAAAAUUAAUGGAAUCGCCGUGUUAGCACCUGUUGAGCCGAUUAAGCGAGAAUCGGAUUUAGGUGCGAAUAUUCCCUUCAAAAGCGUCCUUUGGGUCGUGCAUCGGGAGUACCGGAAGAAGGUAUCACACCAAUUGAAGAAAGUUACGGCAACCACAAGCAGUUACAUGCGGUUCCAAUCGGCUAGAAGUGGUUCGGAAUAUAAGGAGAUAAUGGCCGAUUAUGAAAUAACUGAUCAAAGGGGGCUAUCUAUAAAUAGGAUAAUAAUACCCCAAAAAGGGGUCUUCGUCCCUGCGCACAAAAGACCACAUUUACUUUCUUGCAUCUUUCUUUUCGCAUUUAUUUAUUUUUCCUAGAAGUAGUUCCUAUAACUUAGCAUCUUGGAGUCUGUCUGCCCCUCGGGCACCACUCCGUUGUAGACUAAAAAUCCAUCUCUCUAUACUUUUCCAGGUUCUAUUUAAUAGAAAGUCAUUUUCGGCUCUUCAGGCCAACCAGAUCUCAAGUUGCCCUAGCCAUUCGGCUCUUCUCUCUGCCCACUUUCUAGCUUGUUUCAAGUAUUCGGCUCAUCCCAGCCGAACCGAUUCUCUUAUAAAGGCUUUGAACCCAGCUGACCCGAUCUCUCGUCAGCCUAAUCGCUUGAUCUAUCGAAGGGCGCAUACUUCGAGGGUCAUCUUUCGCAGCCGUUUCCAUCCCGACGCGUUUCCCAAGGAAGAACUUUGAUCGGUUCAAAGGUCGGGGAAUUUCGGCUCCAACAAAUUUUUGGCACGCCCAGUAGGACCCCAAUAUAAGGUAAAUUUGCAUUAUAUAUAUAUAGUAUGGCUGAUGAUAACGCCAUGAAUCUUCGUAAUAAGGCUAUCCCUAGAAAUUCUAUGAGUGAACAGCCCAGUAAUUCAAAAAAUGUGGUAGAGCGCCAAGCAGUUUUACCCGCUGAGGGUGAAACCAGUGGUCAAUCUGGCCAACCGGAACCUAGUUUGACCCAGGCACUUGGACAAAUGACUCGGGUCCUACAAACUUUGGACCAAAAUAGUCAUGCGAGUAAUGCACGGCUGGAUGCCGUCUUGGCCGCAAUUACGGCCUCUAAUGAGAACAUCGCCCGAAUAGGGCAGUUGUUAGCUCGAAAUGAACAGCUGAUAGCAGGCCUACAAGCGCCUGUGAUGACGCCAGUGUUACAAAUUCCAGUAACACCAAUAAUUGGUCAGCCCCAAUACCAGGGGGCACCAUAUCAAGCGGCUUAUAGACCGGCUGUCGGUAAUGCCGGUCAACAGCCAGAAAUGGCUUGGGGUUUACCUCCACCCCCUCCAGUAGCAGUCUACCAGCCUCAGAAUGUAGGGGCUAGGGGGCAAGCUCCAAAUGUACAAGGGGUUAAUCCCGUAGUACAAAACAUUGGAGUUCCACUCCCACCGAACCCAGCACCAGCGCAACCCCCUUUACAGGGAAUUAAUAACGAAAUUUAUGCGCAAAUAGAAGAAGCCAUCCGGAAUAUUUUCGGAGUAGGCACAAGGCCGGCAAUGCGGCCCGUAUUCAGGUUACCAUAUCCUGCAAACAUAGAUAUGGAACACCUAUAUCCGGCAAAUUGGAAGAUGCCGAAGUUUAACAAGUUUUCCGGCGACGAGACCGAGAAUACGGUCGAGCACGUCGCGCGGUUUACAGCUCAGUGCCGUGAGGCCGCGGCAGAUCCAUUUUUAAAGUUGAGGUUAUUUAAUACUUCAUUGACUAAAACAGCUUUUACUUGGUACACGAGUUUACCUGCUAACUCUAUCCGAGAUUGGGAUGAGUUAGAAGGUAAUUUCAUGAACAAUUUUAUAGAACUGAGCCAGAACUAUCAGUAGCGGAUUUGGCUCAAUUCAAACAAAGAACAGGAGAAUCGGUUGAUGAUAUUUAAACCGAUUCAAGACGGCUCGAAGCCGUUGUUUUGUAAGAAUGCCAGAAUCGGAGUUUGCCAAAAUGGCAUUCAACGGCAUGCAUUUCAAAAUUAAAGAUCAUUUUGAAGAUAGAUUCUUUCUAAAUCUGAUUUAGGAGUUCGAGUUGCUCAAUAUGAGCUAUUUCGAAAAGGUAAUAAUGAAGAUCGGCCCAGAAGGAGCCGAAACAAAGAGUGGAAUAAAGAAAAGGAAAAAAAUAUCUCUUUCCUUGAAGAGUCUUCGGCUCAUGAAGAGCCGAAUUCGUCUGAGGAAAAUGAAGAUUCGGCUGAUGAAGUUGAAAUUUGUGCUGCUGAAAUGGUGAGAAAUAACCAAUCAUACAAAUGUGCUUUGUUAAGACCUGCCAAGUCAAGAGAGGCGAAAGCACACGUGUCUGCUUUUAGUUAUUCGUUCGAUAUAGCAAAAACCGAUUUGAUUGUUAAUCGGUUUCUAAGGGACGAACGAAUUAAACUACAGGAGGGUCAAACUAUACCUUCUAUAGAACGCAGAAGAUACUGCAAAUGGCACCAUUCAUGGAGCCAUAAAACUAGUGAAUGAACUGCCUUCAAGAGGCAAAUUCAAAAAGAGAUAAAUGAGGGUCGGCUGAUCUUUGCCGACCAAGAAAGUAAGGAUAUGGAAAUUGAUAAGAAUCCUUUUCCAUCACAGGUCAACGCCGUGAACAUGAAAGGGAAAGGAAAAGCGACUGCGAAAAGGCAGAUCCAAGAAGAAAUAGACGAGGGUCGGCUCAUAUUAGCCGACCAGGAAAACGAAAAUAAAGUAAGUAACAAAAGUUCGUUUCCGUUUCUGGUUAAUAUGGUGAAUGUUAAAGAAAAAGAGGUUUUGGACAAGGAGACCGCUGACAACGUGGCCCAUGCCAAAAAGCAUCUUCGGUUUUGCAUCAGGUGCAAGGCCGAAAUGACGAAAAAAGACUGGGAAGCUAUUGUGAAUGCCAAGAAAAGAGGGAACGAAUGGAAUGAGUUGAUGGCGUUCCCUGAGGAUUGGGAUAACAUUCCUGAUGGUAAAGACCAAGAAGAAGAAGGCUCAGACGCAGCCUCCAAUGACACUGAACCGGAAGUGAAAUCGGUUCAACGCAAACAAGACAUGUUAAUGCAGAAGAUUCUGCAUGAUUACUACAACAACAGACGUGACGAGCGUCACGGCCGAUGGGACUACCAGGGUAGACCUUUCGGCACCAAGCCAAGGAUUCCUGGAUAUCGGCCACAUUGGCAGCAUCAAACAAGGCCAAGACCAGAACCAAAAUUCGAGGGAAUGACCGAGGGAGACAUAGAAUUCAUCGGUCGAAGAUUAGUCAACGAGUUAGGCAUUCAGCCUUGGCCGAGACCUUGGAAGAUGAGAGAAAUUUUGAAAAAUCAUCUGAGGAUAGUAAAGGUACCGGCAACGGUGCCAGUGGAUGAAUGGCACGAAGUUGAGGUUAAACCAUCGGCCAGAUGGCAGGGGCCGAUGUUGACAAAAACCCAAAAGUGUCGGCAGCAGAGGAUGCAAGCCGAGGCGGUACAACACUAUGAAAAAGUGAAAAGGACAAGACUCAAUGUUUGGAGGCGUCCAGAUGAACAAUCACAUCCUUUUCGCCCAAUGAGAAACGACCAUGAGGCAGGCGGCUCAUCGCCUGCCCCUCGAAUGAAGUUAAGAAUAGAAUGGCCAAUCGAGGCCGAGUCAGAAGAAAAAAUGAGCAGGAGGGAGUUAGAAGACAAAAUAGCUUCCCUCGAAACGAUGAUCAAGAGAAAACGAUGGCCCCCUAAAGAAAGGGAGGUCCGGAUGGAGAGUGACUCUUCAGCCGAGACGGCGAAGGAAUCGGAGGAAAAGAAACAAAGAACUAAGGGAAAAUCAGUCGAAGAGUCGACAGCUGAGGUGAAUAUGGUAUAUGCUUUGCCUCAAUCCUUUAAGGCAGAGCUUAUUGAGUAUGAAGAGUUUAGAGAAGAUGAGGAGGAUGGGCUCAAAGUAACCCAGUUGCAAUUGGAAGACGCCAAACCGGCCGAUAUGGUGAUUUUCGAGAAGCCAUCGGCCAUGCAAACAAGAUUCGUGAGGCCUCUUUUUAUUCGGGCCUUAAUUGAAGGUCGGCCGGUGGGCCGAGUAAUGAUAGAUGGCGGAGCUAUGGUUAAUGUCAUGUCCACUGCAUUCUUCAAGAAGUUGGGCAAAGACGAAGAUGAGUUGAAACCCACGGACACGAUCAUGACCGACUUUACCGGGAGCGGUCAGCAAGCUCAAGGAGUCCUUACGAUCGAAAUCACGGUAGGUUCUAAAACUUUACGAACGGCAUUUUUUGUGGUUGAUGCAGAUGGUCAAUAUAACCUACAACUCGGGCGUGAUUGGAUUCAUGCAAACGAGUGCGUGCCUUCUACACUCCACGGGAAACUAUUCCAGUGGAUCGGAGAUAAAGUCGAAGAAAUCCGGGCCGAAGGACGGCCCCAAAUGGUGGACAUCAACAACGAGGAAGUCGGCCAUAUCAAUUGGGCCGACGCGGAUCCAGAUCAAAUUUCCUUCGUGAGGGUUACAGAAGAAGAAGUCUAGUUGAUUUUUACUGGGGAAGAAGGGGCUUUGGUGGCAGCCGAUGAGCCACCAAAGUGGUUAAACUGAAGUACGAAAAAUCGAGAAUAAGGGCUUGUCAAGAGCCUCGACAGAAAAUGCCGAUCAACAAGAUCGGCUAUAAGGAAGAUUCGGCUACCACAACCGAUGUGUUAACACUUGAUGACUCGGCUAGUAAAGCCGAUGAGGUUAUGAUAGAUUCGGUUUACAGAACCGAAAAAAAAAAUCAAAUGAAGUCGGUCACCAAGACCGACAAGUCAGGCGAAAGGAAUAUGCCAGCAGAAGAAUCGUAUCUAGAAGAGUCGCCUAUCAAAAUCGGUGAGAAAAAGUUGGAGACCCAAGACCCGCUGAUCAAAGUAAAUUUGGGAUCCGACAAAGAUAAGAGACUGACGUAUAUAAGCGCAAAGCUUUUAGCUCAACAGCAGAAGGAACUGAAAGAACUAUUGAAGGAGUACAAGGACUGCUUCGCCUGGAGCUAUGAAGAAAUGCCUGGGUUAAGCCGAGAAAUUGUAGAGCAUAGGCUGCCCAUUAAAAAAGGGUUUAAGCCUUUUAAACAACCGGCUCGUAGGUUUGAACCGAGUAUUGUACUCCAAAUCAAGAAUAAAAUAGAAAAUCUUUUGAAGGCCGAUUUAUUAGAGCGGCCCAUUAUGUUGAUUGGGUGUCUAAUAUAGUUCCAGUACAAAAAAAGAAUAGUAAACUUAGAAUUUGCAUUGAUUUCAGGAACUUAAAUUUAGCCACACCAAAAGAUGAGUACCCUAUGCCAAUAGCCGAUAUGUUAGUAGAUUCGGCUUCCGGUAACGAGAUCCUAUCCUUUAUAGAUGGACAUGCUGGUUAUAAUCAAAUUUAUAUUGCUAAGGAAGAUAUGGCUAAAACGGCUUUUAGGUGCCCUGGUUUGAUUGGAACCUUUGAAUGGGUUGUUAUGCUGUUCGGCUUAAAGAAUGCCGGAGCUACUUAUCAAAGAGCAAUGAAUUUUAUUUUCCAUGAUUUAAUAGGCAAAAUUUUCAAAGAAUAUAUUGACAACAGAGUCAUAAAAUCAAAGUCGCAAGUCGAACAUUGGAUUGAUUUAAAGCUCGCCUUUGAAAGAAUGAGAAAAUAUAAUUUGAAAAUGAACCCUUUAAAAUGUGCUUUUGGAGUUUCAGCAGAAAAGUUUUUAGGAUUUCUAGUGCAUAAAAAAGGGAUCGAAAUUGAUAAAAACAAGGCGAAAGCAAUAUUAGAAUUACCGCCGCCAAAAAGCAAAAAAGAAUUACAAAGUUUGUUGGGAAAGAUUAAUUAUCUUCGGCGGUUCAUAUCAAACUUGGCCGAAAAAAUUGGGGUUUUUACUCCAUUACUGCGGCUUAAAGACAAAAAAGAAUUUAUUUGGACGGAGGAACAGCAAGAGGCGUUUGAAAGUAUAAAAAAAUAUUUAUCGAAUCCUCCGGUACUGGUGCCUCCAAAACUAAAUCAGCCGAUGAAGUUGUAUAUAUCGGCUGCAGAAGAGAAUUUGGGAUGUUUUGUUAGCCCAAGACAAUGAAGAAAGAGAAGAACAAGCCAUUUAUUAUUUAAGCCGACGUUUUCUAGAUACUGAAAAACGAUAUUCGGCUAUUAAAAAAUUAUGCUUGGCUUUAUACUAUUCAUGCACAAAGCUAAGAUAUUUUUACCGACUGAGGUGUCGGUGAUAUGCAAAACCGACCUGGUAAAGUAUAUAUUGGCUAAAUCUGUAUUAAGAGGUCGGCUUGGGAAAUGGAUGUUGGCUUUAUCUGAAUUUUCCCUUAAUUAUAUUCCAGCUAAAGCCGUUAAAGGACAAGCGAUAGCUGACUUCUUGGGUGAUCAUCCAUGUGUGGAAUUAGAAGAACCGAAGAUAAAUUUAGUCGGUUGUCAGCCUUGGAUACUUUAUUUUGACGGCUCAAGAACAGCCGAAUCAGCAGGAGCUGGAAUAGUUAUCCAAUCUCCUGAAGGAUAUUCAUGCCAAUUUGCUUUCGAGUUAGAUUUCGGCUGUUCUAACAAUCAAGCCGAAUAUGAGGCCUUAAUAAUUGGCCAGAAAUUUUAUAAGAAUUGAAAGCAAAAUCAAUCAAAGUCAUUGGUGAUUCACAGUUAGUAAUCAAACAAGUGAAUGGGGAAUACCGAUGUGAAAAUCCAAAUUUACAAAACUAUUUAAGGAAGACAUUAGAGUUGCUAUGUGAAUUCAAAGAUACUGAAUUCAAAUAUUUGAGCAGACAAAAAAAAUGAGAAGGUUAAUGAACUAGCUCAAUCGGCUUCAGGAUAUAGAGAGCCGAAGUUAGAAUCAAUAGUAAUACAGAGGAGGUUGCUACCUUCGGUUCACAUACGAGAACCAAUUAUAGCUCCCAUAGAAGUGAAGGAAGAUUGGAGAAAAUUAUUAAUCAAAUAUCUGGAGGAUCCUAAUACAAGGGUCGAUUAUAAUAUUCGAAGAAGAGCUCUCGGCUAUUGUCUAUUAGGCGGUCAACUUUACAAGAGAGCAGCAGAAGAGGUUCUAUUAAAGUGUUUAGGACCUGAAGAAGCUCUAUUGAUAAUGGGAGAAACACAUGAAGGAAUAUGUGGAACUCAUUUAGCCAGAAAAAAGUUAAGAUGGACAAUUCGGCAUUUAGGAUAUUAUUGGCCAACAAUGCAUCAAGAUUGCAUAAAAUACGCCAAAGGUUGUCAGGAUUGCCAAGUUCAUGGCUCGAUUCAGAGAGUUCCGGCCUCUGAGAUGUAUGCAAUCAUUAAACCAUGGCCUUUUCGAGGUUGGGCCAUGGAUUUGAUUGGAGAAAUUCAGCCGAACUCCUCGGCUGGUCACAAAUUUUUAAUAGUGGCCGUAGAUUAUUUUACUAAGUGGGUGGAAGCAAAACCCACUCGGUUAGUUACCCAAAAAGAAGUUAUCGAUUUUGUAGAAGAUCAUAUAAUUCAUCGCUUUGGGAUUCCCGAGACAAUUACGACCGAUCAAGGAACAAUGUUCACAGGAGGACAGUUCGUUCGGUUCAUCGAGUCUCGAAAAAUAAAAUUACUCCAUUUAUCUCCUUAUUAUGCCCAGGCGAAUGGACAAGUAGAAGCAGCGAAUAAAAUAAUCAUCAACCUGAUGAAAUGACAUAUCGAAAAGCAUCCGAGAAAAUGGAAAGAAAAACUUUUCGAAGUAUUAUGGGCAUGCCAAACUUCAGUGAAAACGGCAACAGGGAUGACACAAUUCCAGUUAGUUUACGGACAUGAAGCCGUAAUUCUAGCCGAAAUAACAGUUCCUUCUUUCAGGACAGAAAAACAAAAAGAUUUGCCGGCUGAUGAAUAUAGUAAUUUGAUGAAGGACAAAGCAGAGGAAGUAUAUGAUACUCGGUUGAUAGCUUUAGAUAAUAUGCAAGCAUACCAAAGCCGAGUGCGUAGCGCAUACAAUAAAAGAGUUCGAUCAAAGACAUUUGUCGUCGGUGAUUUAGUACUUCGGCUGAUUUUUUCAAUCGGUCAAAAAGACCGAACAUAUGGAAAAUGGUCUCUAAAUUGGGACGGGCAAUUUCAAGUCAGUCGAAUCACAAGAGGAAAUGCAUAUUAUUUGUGGAACAGAGAUGGGUCAGAAAAUAAAAAAAUCAAUUAACGUGUGAGACCCCAGAUAGUCCUAUAUACGAGAUAUAAUAGGGCUAAACUCUUAACCCGGCUUAAGCAUUUUGGGUGGUGGCAAGGCCCAAGAGGUUAAGAGAGUUAAGUGUGCUAGGAUGGGAGUAGUCCUAGGAUGGGUGACCCCCUGGGAAGUUGGGGCGUCACUUAACGAAAAAUAUUUAAAGAGAUAUUACCCAUCUAUGUGGGAAAAUAAUCAAAGUCAAAGUUAAAACAUUACAAGCCGAAUCAAAUUAACAAAUCUUUGAGUUGGUUCCAUUCGGCUAUAAGGUUGGCUUGGGCGGCUUCGGCAGCUUUUCUUCGACGCUUCAUCAAAGAAUGCACCUUAUAGAGCUGAGAAAGCUCUUCCUGAAUUUUCUUUCCUUCUGCUCUUUUAGCCUUUAAUUGGCUCUAUAAUUGAAGCCGGCACUCAGAGGUUUGGGCUAAAGUCGAUUCGGCUGCUGCUAACUCGUCUUUAAGGGUUGAAAUCCGCUGUUGUAAAGCCGAUUCUUGAUCGGCUAAAGUCUGAUCCUCAUGAUUUACCUCAGUGAUAGGGUCAGCUAUUUCAGGGAUAUUCCUCUUAAAGUGAUCAACAUGAUGAAAAUGUUGACCUAAAGAUAAGAGAUCGGCACCCAAAGAUUGUUGCCGAGCCAAAAAGGAAGAAAGUUGAAAUUACAAAGUCUCUACAAAACAUCUAAUACUAGAAGUAAUAUCUGUUUGUUCUGCCAAAUCGAUUAAGAGAGCAUACAGCCGAUCAAGUAGCUCUGGAUUUUGAGCCAAACAGGGGGGACCAUUGCUAUAUAUUCUAAGACAUUUAUCAAAUUUAUGUUGAGUGUUUGAUGAGAUAAUAGUCGAAGAAUCAUCUCCCUCAUUGGAACUGGGACUCGACACCAGUCAAGAAUGAAGAGUAGCAGUUAGAGAAUCCUCAGGAGCAGAAGGCAAAGUCCCAUGAAUCGGAGAAGGAGGUACGGUACUUGUUUCUCUAGAGCCUUGCGCUUUUCCAGGACCUUGUGUGACAGGUAUAUUUGCUAUGUCAUCUCUUGUAAUUGGGGUUGGGGCAGAAGGAGGUGAUAUGAUUUCACCUGGUAAUGGCAUCGUGCUCGCCUUUGCAACGGAUGUCUUCUUUUCCAUACCUCGUUUCUUUUCAAGACGUGCUUCCCGGCGAAGCUGCCUAUCCAUUUGCGCCUUCAAAGAAGAAGCAAAACGAGCUCUUGAAUUAUUUUCGGGAAAAGACUGUUUUAUUAAAAAGAAGGAUAAACGAAUUGAGAAAAUAAUAUGAGGUAAAGUAACUAAUCAAGUAUACAUACCUCAAUCUCAAUGGGCUCAUCGAGAGCGGAGUCUUGUUUGGAAACAUCAACCGAAGGUGUUUCUUCGGGAAUAGGAGCCGAAGGCGUUCCUUCAGCUUUUUUCUCUAAAACAUCAGCCGAAGCAAUACCUUCGGCAGGUGUAGAAUAAGACCUUUUAGCAACUGACUUACGCCGUUUUGAGGGCGGCGGAGGAGUAAAUUGAGCGGUCUUAAUCGGUCUUUUUUCUGAAGCUGGGACCGAUGAAGAAACUGGAGUUGACUGCAGAAAAAAGAAAAUAAGUAUUUGGAAUAUUGAAAAGAAAGUUGAAAUAGAAAUGAAUACAUUACAAAAGAAAGAGGCCUGACCUCAGAAGCCUCUUCUAUUUCUUCUCUUAGUGAUGAGACAGGAGGAUCGGCUGAAACAACUGGAUGAAUAGUUCUUCGGAAUGCUCGAAGAAGAGAAAGGUCAAGAGUACUGUCAGUAAAAUGAUCCCAGAUAGUAGCAUAACCAGCGAGAGCAACUCUUGUGUAGUUCGGCCUGAAGCUCACUAACUUAAAGAAUCGACGAAGGCGAUUUUCCAUAACCAAAAUCUUAUCAGCUUCGGCUAUACCUUUAGUAGGGGGUCGAUGAUCGGCUGUAUUAGUUGUAAAAAAUUUAGAUGGAGCGGGAAUCGGCUGAACAAACCCAAACUGACGGGCCACAUACUGAGGAGAAUAAACCUCAGUGCUUGGUAAUAGUUUGGAGCGCGAUUUCAACCCCACAUGGAGAUCUCUCGGAGCCAAAUAGGAAUACCAGACCUCUGAGUAUUCACUAGCACGAGAAGAGGCCAAUUCAUCUCAGAUAGCUUCAAACCGGGCUAAGAACCAGGAAGGACCAGUAAGACGGUCGGCAAAGGGAGCCCAAGAAAUAGCCGAUUCAGGACUCGGCUCAUAAAAAGUUUUAAAAUAAGUAAGAAAGUCAGAGGGUUGACCCAGAGUCAUCGGCUGUGGACAGCCGAGAGCUAACCCAUAAGAAUCAAAUUGAGCAACCGAAGUCGGAUUAAAAGGAGAUUGGCAUAAAGCGGGAAUAUAAAAUUGUAAAAAUAUUUGAAGAAACCAGAAGACACCGCAGCCAGAACUAAUGACAGUACCAUCUCGAGAAGGCAAUAUUUUGAUAGAAUCAAAAAUUUCUCUAUAGACAAAGGCAAGAAAGUAAGGCCCUAGAGCUAAUCUAUCGCCGUUAGACAAACCAACGGCGAUUGGAACAAAGUCACGAUUAAUUUUUUGUGAACGGGUACAAAAAAGAUUAUGGCAUAACCAAUAAAGAAGAAAUGCCGUAUGUUCGUUCUUAGUAACGGGAGCAGGGGAUUCACCUGCGAAUUUGCGGAUGAACUUGGAGUAAGCCAAGUCAUUGAGGUCUAGACGGUCCUCAAAAUCAGAUACGCCGUCAGGAUUAUAAGACAUAAAAACAGAAACGCCAUGAGGGAGCAAGCUAGUAAUGGCGGCCACGUCAAGAAGAGUGGGAGUGAGAGGCCCUCUUUUAAAAGAAAAACAUUAGAAGUAGGGGACCAAAAACACAGAGCGGCGGCUAGAAGAAGAUUAUCGGCAAUAGGAGGAUGCCGAGACAAUUGAAUAGCUUCAUAUAUCCCAACCUCUCGCCAAAAGUCACCAAAGGCGGCUUCUACUCGAUCUAACCAGGUUAAAUAUGCGUCUGAAGUACUUGGCCAAGUUCGAAGACUCUUCCUUGUUGAAGCAGAAGAGUACCAAGACUGAAGAUGAAUAGCUUUUCUCAAGGGGAGACCAUCGCUAGAAAAGGGUGAGUCGAUAGGGGUUGGCACUUCUGUAAGAGAAGGACCCAAAAUAAAUCUAGAGGGAUCCGAAUCGACAAAGGGUUUAAGUAUAGUAUAAUCCAGGGAUGGAUGAGAAGGAAGAGGCGGAACCAACGCCAUUAGUCGAAAGAGGAAAAGAGGAAAAGUCAAGUGAAAAAUAAAAUCGGAGAAGAUGAAGGAAAGGGAAACGAAAGAAAGGUUUCCUGGAAGACGAAGAAGAUAUAGAAGAGACAAAAAGAAUAAAAAGCUUGGAGAAGAAGAAAGGCCGUCGUAUCGAACUGUCGCGUCGAAGCGAGUUUCGAUGUCGGUUUUAAUGAUGAAUAGACGGCGGUAAUUAAGAUAACCUAGGUAAUGCCGCGAGUAAGACAAAACGGAAGUUGAGAUCGGGCCGUAUAGAAAAGGAAAUAAAGGGCUAAGAUUGAACCAUACAGAGGGUCACGCCUCGAAACACAUCUAGUACUGGUGCAGAGAUUUUGAAUAUGAUUGGACCGAGGAUGACGCCUCGGAUCGUGCUUGUUAUUAAAUCAAUUACAAAAUUUCGGCAGCAGAAAAGGAACGGCCGAGAUGCAACCAUGCCGGGAAGUUAAAAAGUGAUCGUGUCUCAGAUCACGCCAGCUACCGAAGUGUUACUUCGAAAGCUGCCGAAGGGGCAAUUGUUGAGCCGAUUAAGCGAGAAUCGGAUUUAGGUGCGAAUAUUCCCUUCAAAAGCGUCUUUUGGGUCGUGCAUCGGGAGUACCGGAAGAAGGUAUCACUCCAAUUGAAGAAAGUUACGGCAACCGCAAGCAGUUACAUGCGGUUCCAAUCGGCUAGAAGUGGUCUGAAAUAUGAGGAGAUAAUGGCCGGUUAUGAAAUAACUGAUCAAAGGGGGCUAUCUAUAAAUAAGGUAAUAAUACCCCAAAAAGAGGUCUUCGCUCCUGCGCACAAAAGACCACGUUUACUUUCUUGCAUCUUUCUUUUCGUAUUUAUUUGUUUUUCCUAGGAGUAGUUCCUGUAACUUAGCAUCCUGGAGUCUGUCUGCCCCUCGGGCACCACUCCGUUGUAGACUAAAAACCCAUCUCUCUGUACUUUUUCCGGUUCUAUUUAAUAGAAAGUCAUUUUUGGCUCUUCAGGCCGACCAGAUCUCAAGUUGCCCUAGCCAUUCAGCUCUUCUCUCUGCCCACUUUCCAGCUUGUUUCAAGUAUUCGGCUCUUCCCAGCCGAACCGAUUCUCUUAUAAAGGCUUUGAACUCGGCUGACCCGAUCUCUCGUCAGCCUAAUCGCUUGAUCUAUCGAAGGGCGCAUACUUCGAGGCUCAUCCUUCGCAGCCGUUUCCAUCCCGACGCGCUUCCCGAGGAAGAACUUUGACCGGUUCAAAGGUCGGGGAAUUUCGGCUCCAACAGCACCUACUUGGCUUUUUUUUGCAUAUCAAUUCUGGUCCCUAAACUUUAGACUUUUUUAGUUUAGUCCCCAAAAAUAAAAAUUCAAAAUUUUCAAUUUAAACUCAAAAUUAAUAUUAAAAUUAAAAUUAAAAACUAACAAGAAAUUAGAAUUUUGAAUUUGAAUUUAAAGCUACAAUUUUGAUUUAAAGCUUUAUUAAAAGUUUUAAUUGAGAUUUAAUUUUAAAUUUGAAUUUUAAAUUGAAUUUAAAUUUUGAAUUCAAACUUAAAAAUUUGCUUUUGAAAUUUCAAUUUGCAUUUAAAAUAAAAAUUUUGAAACUAAAAUUUAAAUUUAAAAUCAUAUUCAAAAUUUUAAUUUUAAAUUUUAAAUUUCAAUUGAAAAUUUAAAUUUGAAUUUAAAUUUGAUUCCAAUUCUAAAUUCGAAUUUAAACUUCGAUUUCAAAUUCACAUUCCAAAUCAAAGUUUGAAAUUAAAUUAGAAUUAGAAUUCAAAAUGUGAAUUUGAAUUUAAAAUUAAAUACAAAAUUUGAAUUUGAAUUUAAAUUUGAAUCCAAAAUCAAAUUUUAAAUUUAAAUUUUAAAUUUUAAAUUAAAAAUAUUUCUUUGAAUUUAUAAUUUAAUGCAAAAUGCAAUUUAAAUUUAAAUUUAUAAUAUAAGAUUUAAAUUAAGGGUUAAUUGCAUACAUGUCCCCGCAAAUAUAGUGAAUUACAGAUAUAUCUCUGCAAAGUUUAACUUUCAUAAGUUAUCCCUGCAAAAGUCUAAUGUAUUCAGAUAUGUCCCUCUAGUCAGGAUCCGUUAGAGAACUGUUAAUUUUUUAAUAGUAUACUCGUGAAAUGAUAUUUUUGCCCUCAUAAAUAUGUCCCUCCAAUAACACAUUUGCAGAAAUGUCCUCUUAAUUUUUGCUUUUUUCCUCUUUCUCCUUCUCUUCGGGCCGCGGGAGCAGACGGCGGCGGCGGCGAUGAUCUGAUCAUCGACGAUGACGACAAAGAAGAAUGAGGAAAAGAGGAGGAUACGAGGAAGAAAAAGAAGGAGGCGGCGGAGGCCGUUGUCCGACCUCCGCCACACUUACCUAGGCCGGCGCCGCCGUCGGGGAUGGCGAGGUCGGCGCCGAUCUUCCACGAGGAGCACCGCCGGUUCUCCCACGAGGAGCACUGUCGACGUGGCCUCCAUCAACCGCUUCUUCCGCGACCACGACUCUUCCUUCUUCGUCGCGGUCGCGGAGAACACGACAAUGUUGGAUCUCACCCCAAGAAGCCCCGUGGCGAACGCAGCGAGGCCAUAGAUGAUGGUGGAUCCCACCCUUUUGCUCGCCCCCGUCUUCCCUGAGGAGUAGAGCAGCGUUGCAGGGUCGUCCUAGCGCACGGGCUCGCGCAUCGACUGGGGAAUGGGGUUGGGGUCGGGAUGGGCCGCAAUCAUGUCGGCGAUGGUGCAGAGGAUCCGGGGAUCGUCGUCGUCUGCGGCAGGGGCUAGGCGAGAGUCGUCGAGGAGGACGAUGGGGAGGUCGGGGAGCGAAAGGAUCUUGGGGACGAAGGCGCGCGGGGUGAAGAUGAUGGCGGGGGCGACGACGAUGACCACUCCGGCAAGCAGAAAAGGAAAAGGAAAGAUGAAGAGGAAGAGGAAAAAGGGCAAAAUUGUCAAUUUACCUUAUUAAUUAACCACGGUUAAGUGUUUUAACCGUGGUUAACUAAAUAUCUCUAACGGAUUCUAACGGAAGGGACAUAUCUGAAUACAUUACAACUUUUGCAGGGAUAACUUAUGAAAGUUGAGCUUUGCAGGAAUAUAUAUGCAAUUCACCAUGUUUGUAGUGAUGUGUAUGCAAUUAACCCUAAAUUUAAAUUGUAUAAUUAGUUGGCACUGAUACAGCUCCUCCGUGGCACUGGUUCGACGCCUCUAUGGCGCUGACGUGGUGAUUCCGUUAAUUUUAACACUUUCUUAACGGGUGGGACUUAAUUGUAAUGAAAUCAAGAGGAUCACAGAGGUGAGGUUGCGGCAAAGAGCAUGAUCGUAAAUGGCGACGGCAACGAGGGUGUCGUAAGAUUUAAGGAUGACGAGGAAGAAGAGCGCAUCACAACAGGUGGCUGUUGCGACAGAAGGCGAGAAAGAGGGUGCGAUAGAGAAAAAAGAUGCAAAGGGUGGGAAAAAAAUAAAAAUAUAUGAAAAAAAAUAUAUUUUCUCUUGAGAAAGCUAUCAGAUGCCAUGACCGAUAUAGGAAAGGCCAAGAAGCAAAGAAGAAAGAAGAAAAGGUUGUACUACUUUAUAUUAAGUUGCAUUGUUUAAUAUUCAAUUGCAUUAUUUAAAACUAUUUGAACCUAAGUGCAUAAUAAAAACUAGAAGUUGGCAAUGUUUGAGACUAAAUUGUACUGUUUGAGACUUAAAUUACACAAUUUAAAAUUAUUUGAGAUUAAAUUAUAACUUUUCAAAUAGUACAACUUAAGUUUCAAACAUUGCAAAUUAGUCCCAAGCAGUGUAACUUAUGCUUUUUGUAGUGCAGUUUAAUCUCAAAUAUAUAUAGCUUUAAAUGAUGCAAUUUGUCUCAAAUAGUGCAACUUUUUCUUAUUUUUUUAUUUUUUGGUCUUUUUCUAUAGCUGCGACGACAAAUGAUGGCCUUCUUAAGAGAAGAAAAAAAUAUUUUUUUUCUCUUUUUUCUUCUUUCUUCCUCUUUUUUUUCACCUUUUAUAUCUUUUUUCGGUAUUGCACCCCUCCUUCGCCCUCUACCGCAGCCACCACCCCAAGCCCAAUAUGCUUUUCUCCCUGUCAUUUUCAAAUCCUGUAGUACUCUCGUCACCGUCCAUGGCUACGCCCUCUGCCGCGGUCUCACCUCCGCGAUUUGUACCAUAUCCGAGCUCGCAUCGCCGCACCGUUGUUGGCGGAGGUGUAGGCAAGGUAGGAGAGAGGAGUGCGGUAUUGACGUCGAAGCGGCGGAGGAGAAGGGGGAAGGAGAGAAAACAAAAGGAGAAAGAGAGUAAAGAAUAACGAGAAUGGGAGAGAGGAAAAUGACAAACGAGAGAGAAAUGAUAGAUAAAGAAAAAUAAAAGUAUUCCAACCAGUUUACUAAAAAUUCAUACCUACUAUGCAAAACAUUGCUUUGUCGGAGAUUUGUCACGCCCCGGAUUACCACGUUUCCCCGGGUACGCCAACAGACCCGCCGUAUACAUAGGAAUUUCCUGUGUAUACGAAGCAAUAGUUGUACCUGUAAACUAAUCAUAGCUACAACCAGAAGUAUAGAGCUACGAAACUGAAACAUAUAUAAAACAUAAACCAUCCACUGUACAUACAAAAACCAACAGUACAAUCUUGCUCCAGUGAGUAGAACUAAUCAUAACAAUAUGUACAUGGCAAGAUCUAUCUACCUCUGCAAGGGUACUCCUCUAGCAAAAGACCAGGGAAGGAAAGACUCUAGCUCGCGACUCCCUUGCCUCGGUCAGAAUCCACAGCAGCAGCAGCAACGGACGACUCUGUAAAAAAGUAGCAACAACUGGGUGUGAGAACUACUGCAAAAUAGAAUAAUCCUCAGUGAGUACCGUCACCGACCUCAACGGUCCUACAGUAAGAUAUGCAAAGGGUAGUAAAGAUGGAAGAAACUCUAUAGCUACAUGCUACUAUACUACCGCUAUCCCAAACUAAGCUCACUGUAGGUAAAGGAAUGCAUCACUAGCUACAACCGAACCACACUAACCCAAUCUCAAGGGACUACCAACUGGCCCAUCCAGCCUGUGUCCAAACUACACCGCACACCACCCACGGGGGUGGUCGGUCCAAGAACUGUCCAAACAGGAAUGCUGCGACAUCAACACAAGAAAAGUGUCACUCCGAAGCGACACUCGUGGGCGCGACCAAACCGAAUAUGCAAGCGUGUCUCUGUCGAGCUGAAUCAGGCUCACACAGGCUAUAGUCAAUGCAAAUGAGUCAAUAUGGUCUAACAACCAAGGCUCACGUGCCCUCGGUACAAUCUGAAACAAGAUGUAAAUAUCUUGGUCCACUGUCAGCCCCAACGGCACCCGACAGUACGAAACAGUCCAAACUCUACUGUAAAAUGAGCUCGGCCCCUCAGCACGAGCGUAGCCUCAACCUACACUAAUCUGAGUAUCCACAACACACUAACAGCGGUGAUACAUAAGAACAACCGUUCCGGAAGCUAAUUCUGUUAACAUUUUGAAAAGUGUCAGGUGUAGAUUUAACGAGUUUUCUCCUAAGUCAAAUCCCAGUUCAGCAUGUAAAAAUUCAUCUAAAAUCAUUAACUUAUGCUCCAAAUUCAGAUUCCAUAAAGAACAAGCAAAUCCAUGAAUUUGAGCUACUAAACCUGAUAAUUGAACAAUAAAACACAUGUUGACGUUUUACGACUUAGAUGGAAUUCCGAUGAUUUCGAUAAAUAUUAAUCCACCUCGAACGCUCGUCCAACACCGGCUAGAAGUCAAAAGGAGAAACUCCGCACGCUCGCUCGACCUCCGACGGCUCAACCGGGACAACCCACGAGCUCGGACGACCCUCCUACGAUCGAUUCCAAUUAGCUAGAAAGAGAGAGGAAGAAGAAGAGUAGCUACGGCCUUUCCAAGCUCCCAAGGCUGAUAUAAACUGGAGGGAGGGGGAGGAGGGGGGAGAGNGAGAGGGGGGAGGGGGUCAGUUGGAAUGAACGGCACAACAAAAUGACCAAAAGGCCUCUUACCAAGUCACUUUGUUGCCUGGAGUACCGGUACUCAACUUGGGUACCGGUACUCGACACUCAACUAGCAAUCCCACACGCUGGGUACCGGUAUUAGCCUGAUGCAAUACCGGUACUUAAGCUCGGUACCGGUACUCGCCAAUAGGUACCGAUACCCAACAAGAAAAAUGCACAAACCCGAGAGCAACAAUUCAAGAAAUCCCUCUAGGGUACCGGUACUCCUCUUAGGUAUCGGUACACAAAACUUGAAAUCCUGCAUUUGCUGAUUUCAGUGUUCGAACUCUAACUCUCAGAACUCUGAGUCCGUUUUUGCGGCUAUUUUGCGCCAAAACGAUUCCGACUUGUCCCGACACUCUGCAGAUGUGUCGACAAGCCACAAAUACUGUAGUCAGUCCGACAGCUAAACCUCAGAGAUACUACAAGAUUUGAUGGCCUGUAGCUUACAACAAACGCAAAAAAGUGACCUAGUUUUAAAAAUAUGCAACAUAGUGAAAUUUUAUGCAAAUUGGCCAAAAAAAAAAAAAAGAAAGUGUAAUUUAUCCUUAAAACAUGUUUAUAAAGAUAAUUUACCCUUUCAAAAAAUAAAUAGUUAGACUCUUUAAAAAAAUAAUUUAAAAUGUUAGAGAUCUCUAUGCAAAUUAUCCAUUAAUUAUUGAGUAUUUUGAUUUUGAGAUUGUUUAUGGGACGUGAUUAUAGGUCCGUUUGGCCUAAAUUCAAAAUAUGUGAUUUCUACAAAAUUGAUUUUAAUUUGGAGAAUUGAUUUUGGUUAAAACCUGUAAAGCGUUUGGCUUUAAAUGAAAAAUAAUUUUCUUGAAAUAAUAUUAUAAAGUUGUUUAGCAAAAUUUUUUUUACUGUUCGUAAAUAAUAUUUUUUUACUAAAUUUUACUUUGUAAUAAUUUAAAAUUUUAAUUUAAAUUUAUAUUUAAAUUUUAAAUUUUAAAUUUGUACAAAUACUUAAAAUUUGAUAUUUUCAUAUAAAAUAUAAAUUCAAAUUUUGAAAAACUAAAAUUUAAAUUUUUAAAUAUAAAUUUAAAAUUUAAAAUUUAAAAUUUAAAAUUUAAAAUUUAAAUUUAAAAUUUAAAAUUUAAAAUUCAAAUUUUGAAUAUUUAAAAUCUAAAAUUUAAACUUUGAAUUUUUAAAAUUUAAACUUUAAAAUUCAAAAAUAAAAUUUUACUUUUGAAUAUUAAAUUUUUAAACUUGUAAUUUAAAAAUUAAAACAUAAUUUAAAUUUUAAAAUUUCAAAACUUCAAUUUUAUCUUUGAAAUUUGAAAAUUAAAAAUUGUGAUUAAUAUCUAAGUUUUAAAUUUAAAAGCUAUAAUUUGAAAUUUAAAAAUUAAAGGGUAAAAUUUAAAUUAAAUUUUGAAUUAAAAAUUUAAGUUUAAAAUUAGAAUGAGAUUUUAAUAAGUAAAUUUUAUCUGUUUUUGAUUUUGAGUCUCAAAAAUUACAAAAAUUAAUUUUAAAAAUUAAAAUAAGAUUUUGAAAACGUAAUUGUGAAACACUUUAUUGAGCCAAAAAAUUAUUUUUGGGUCCAAUUGUGAGCAUCGUGAUGCGUGCUCGUUUGGCGCCUAUUGUGAGCGGUUUGAUUCCCCAGAUUCUUCGGUGUAACGGUUGUAUGUCACGGCAUUAGACAAUGACGUAAGGGGCCAACCUUUCGGUGUCACAACCGUGAUAUACAGCCGCUACACUGAAGAUCACGUGGCGUGCGUGAUUCUAAUGCCACGUGUACAUGAUGAUGUGAGAGACGUGAUCAUGCUGUGUUAAUGAAAGAAAAAAAGUCAAAAAUUAAGAAAAUUUUUUUUUUUCUAUUUAGCCUUCUCAAUUUUUUUAUUUUUAGAAAUGACUUUAUUAAAAUUAUACAUAGAGAAAUGAUAUUUAAACACGAUAAAUAAUAUAUCGUGUUCAACAUUAUUAGGUGAAUAGGAUAAAUUCUUUUUACUACGUUCAAUUUAUUACGUAAACAUGAUAAAUAAUUUAUCGUGUACAUAUAAAAUAUUUAUUUCUAUCCAGCGUGACGCUUACAUGAAUAAUGAAAAGUCAUUCUUUUGAUUGCAAUUUUGUAGUGAUCAUAUAAGAAAAAAUAAUUGUGAGGGGGCUAAAAGCGAAAAAAAAAAAAAGUUCUAAAAAAUGAGUUUAUGACAUGCACUGCACAGCGGCGAUGCGACAGCAGUGGUGUUCCGGUGACGCUGAAGGCGAUGGUUGGUAUGCCGUGCAAGUCGAAAGAGAGAGGAAAAGAAAGAAAGCCAAAAGAGGGAUACAAUCAAGGAUCAUAAAAAAGAAAAAAAAAAGAGUAAAUUAGUUGGUCAAAAGAUAUAUUUGUAAGUAAGAAUGUAAAUGGGGCGGAUUCGGAGACUGAAGAGCCUCUCUCGUACCACCCCAUUUUCUUGACAGGUCAGGAAAAAUUAUGAUCAGGUUGAACUUCAUUCUAUAUUUUGUCCCCACUUACCGCUCCAAUCGGGGUAGGUCAUGACAGGAACGGAUUUUUGGCAGAUUGGAAUGAAUCAAAGAAAAAAAGAUUUCCAAGAAACAGGCCGCCUGCUCGAUUUCUUUAUUAUGGAUUGGGCAAAAUUUGGAAUGGGUUAUUUUUUAAAAAAAUUUGGCUCCCAUCUGCUGGAAGAAUUCUACACUGUUGCACUUGCACCACGUCAUCAAUAACAAGCCAAUCACAUUUCUUCUUUUCAAACAAAAGUACAAUAAAUUUUUUUUUUUUACAAUCAUGAUGGGACAUAUAUUUUUAAAAGAAGAUAUUUGAUUGAUUUGUUAUGCCACGUCACCAAUAUACCCGUUGCAUUCUAGAAUUUUUUCAUCAGGUGACCGAUUGAAGUCGCCCAUUUGAUUGAUUCGCCAUCGACCCAGGUCCACAUAAUUAGAAAGUGUAAUAGAAAAUAGGUAUAAAUUUUGUACUUUAUGAGGGACAAAAAUUUUAUGGGCACCGAGCCCAAGUAAUUUGUUUGGGCACGGUGCCCGGAUGGGCGCCGCGUGUGCAGCGGCGCCCAUCCGCGCACUCCCUCCUCCCUCUCUUUCUCUCUCUUCCUAAAAAUCAAGCCCACUAUUUUUUUUUAUUUUUGAGGGUGCGGAUGGGCGCCCAUCCGCACACUCCCUCCCCCCUCUCUUUCUCUCUCUUCCUAAAAACUGAGCCCACCAUUUUUUUUAUUUGAGGGUGCGGAUGGGUGCCACUGCACGCGCGGCGCCCAUCCGGACACCGUGCCCAAACAAAUUGUUUGGGCACGGUGCCCAUAAAAUUUUUGUCCUUUUAUUAGAGAAUAUCCUGCCGCUGAAAGGCGCCCAUUUAUUUUCAAUUAAAAAAAUGACUAGGUCUCCCAAUGCUUUCUUCAUCAUCAUAUCUCACAUCCUAUGCUCAAAUUAUAAAAUAUUAUAAACAACCGACUAGAUUUUUUUUUACCCCUCAUUAUUCCACAUGAUUAAUAUGUGAUAAUAAAAGUCAAAUAACUAGUAAUAAACUAAUAAAGCACACACACUUAGUCAUGAGACAUUGUACAUGCAUACGCUCUUAAAUUGUAGAAAGGUAAACAAAUUACUUUUGAGGUUUACAUGUACUACACCUAACUUAAACUUUCAAUCCAAGCUAUACAUCAAUUUCAUUAACCUUUUCUGAAACAAUUUGCAAGUUAGGUACAGAAAAAGCUAAUUUAAUGGCUCAGAGCAAAAGAACAAGCUAUUAAAAAUCGUACGUGUGAGCACAUUGAAUAGUACAUUCAAUCUCUCCUGAUAAACUUUUUAUAGCAUUUAUGUGUAGAAAAAGUCACUGACAGUGAUGGAUGGGAAAAGUGGGGGAGGGAUGAAAAGCAAAUCAUGUACACAAUUUUGCUCUUUCUUUUGUUUCCUUCUUUGGCUAGUAUUGUAAUUAAGCUUCUUAAGUGUCGCAGCCACGAAGUUACAAAUAUUGCUAGUUAUAUCUAUACUAUAGUGUCCGACUGGGAUACUAUCGAUAGCAUCAAGCGUUUGAUGUUAUUAAAUUUUCUGUCGUUAGAUUUAUCCCUUUUAUCAUUUCUAAUCGUUAGAUCAUACUAUUCAACCAACCAUCUACUUAAUCCUAAAGACGACUAUCAACCUAAUUGAAAAUUACUGUCAUCCUAACCGCAUAUUUUUUCAUCCAAGGGCUAAAAACCUAAAAGCAUCAAUGACUUGGUGCUAGCUAUUAAUAGUAUUCCAGCCAAAUUCCUAUACUAUAUAUAAAAACAUAUAUUUCAAAUUUCGAUCAGUUGACGGACCUAUUUAAAAUUAUAUGAAGAUAAGAAUAAAAAUAUGUAGAUAAGAAUCGAAAUAUAAAUUUGUAAUGAAACAAAUUUUUAAUUGCUCAUUUUCUCUAACAAAUAAUAAUUUUUUAUUAAAUAUUUUUAUAUCAAUCAAUAUCUUUUUCUUUUACAGUGAAUAUUUAAGAUUAUUUCAAUUAUAUCUACUAAUAAUUAGUUAUUAUAUUAACUUUUUAUUGAUUGCAACAAUAGUCAAAUUUAAAUUUAAUUUCAAAUAUAUAUAUAUAUAUAUAUAUAUAUAUAUAUAUAUAUAUAUAUAUAUAUCCAUUUAAUUUAUUGAAAAAUCUAAGUGGUAUACUGGUAUAUGGAGGUGUUAAAUUAAUUGGGUUAAUUUCAUACAGAUUCCUGCAAACGUAGCGAAUUAUAAAUAUAUCUCUCUCAAGCUCAAUUUUUAUAUAUUGUCGCUACAAAAUUUCUAAUGUUUUCAAAUAUGUCCCCAUGGUUUAUUAUCGUUAAAAUAUUAUCUAUUUUAUAAAUAAAAUAAUUUUUUUGCUAUCACAAAUAUGUCCUUGUCCAAAAAUCUCACUGUUAAUUAAAUAGUAUAAAAAUGUAUCAUCUCAUUAACUAAACUAAAUUUAAGUCUUAACUCUAUAUUAACUAAAUUUUUUAAUUAGCAAUGAUAUUUUGACAAUCGAAACUUUAUAGAAACAAUAUAUAAAAAUUAAACUAAGUAAAAUAUAUUUGUAAUUUAUUAUGUUUUUAGGGUCUAUAUGAAAUUAAGCGCAAAUUAAUUGUUGCCUGAGGUGGUCACGUACCCGCAUGCCACUACUAUUUUGGUCAUUUAUUACAAUAGGAUAAGGAUUCCAAAGAUCAUAAAGUCGAGGAGAUUGUUAUAUUAUAUAUAAAAAUUUAACUUUAGUUAACAAAAUUACCAAACUAUCAAUGAUGUAAUUGAACAUAGCUACUCUAAAAACUGGAUAAUAAAUAAGGUUUAGGUGAUUACAAUACCGGAUAACUUUAAUGUAAAAUAAUGUAAACAAUAAAAUAUAAUACCACAUAAUCUAAACUUUAAGUCCAUUUGAUAACAAUUACCAAAAUAUUUAGGUAAUUAUUUUAUUUUCCAAAUCUAACAAUUUUCUCUUUUGUUUUGUUGCCAAAUAUUAUUUUUUCUCUUUGAGACCCUACCGCUAGCGACGCUACCCUCCCUCCUUCGUUUAAUUCUAAAUUUUAGAAAAUAAACUUAACUGGAAAUGUGAAUCAACUAGGAUUCGCAACACUAGUCUCGGGUAUCGACCAGCAAAGUUUUUGCCACUUGCUUUAGAACGGCCAGUUGUUUGCCAAAAAAAUAUGAUUCAAUUGGCAUUUGGUACAUUUGUUACCUUGUAUAUUUAUCAUCAUUUAUUUGUUAGACUUAUUGGGCUUUUCAUCAUUUACUGAAUUGUGAUUAUUUUAAUUCGUAAAUCGAGUGAUUGAAUAACAUUAUAGAAAUAUAUUUAUUUUUAAAAAAAGGAAUACAUGCAAUUAUCUGAAUGCAUUGGAUGAAGGAAGCAAAAUAUUUGCAAGAUCAAUAAUAAAAUAAAGUUUUAAAAAAAUUGAAUAGUUAUUUUACGGGUAAUUUCAUACAGAUCCCUAAUAAAUAUAAGUGAAUUGACAAAUAAUAACCUAUAAAUUCAACUUAUUAUAUAAUAUUGCCUAAAAAAAAUCCCGAUUAUUAAAUAUGUAACCACCUUGCCGUUCAAAAUUCGUUAGAAAAAUAUUUAACAUAGGUUAAAUACAUUAAUCCUAAUUUAAUUUUUGAAAUUUUUAAUCCCUCUUAUAAAUAUUAUACUGUAUGACCUUUGGACUGGACAUAUUGUGAUAAUAUAAAUUGAAAAAAUAAAUAGUUCUCUAAUUGUUUUCUAACUGUAACCAAAUUAUAUAAACAUAUUUGAAAUAUCGGACGUUUACCAUCAAAACAAUAUGUAUCCACUGUAUUUAAGAUACCUGAAUUAAAUAAAUUUUAUUUUUAAAUAAUUCAAAUUAUUCGCGCUACACAUUGCACAAAUUUUUUUAUUUUUAUAUUUUUAAUCUUUAAGUAAAAAACCUACUUGUCUCACAGUUCAAAAUCCACUCACAAGCACGAGGAAACGAACCACGUGCAAUCCGCCAAAAUUAUUGACAUUCUUUUCUUCUUUCUUUAUUUAUUUUAUUUAUUAUUCUCUCUCCCAUAAUUCCCUUGAUAUAUAUCUAUCGCUCUCCCUUGCCACGUCCGCAUCCAAAAUCUCUUUUUCCUCCAAAAAGUUUGAAGCAUGAUUUAAAUAAAUAAUUAUAUAUCGCUCCAUAAUAAAAUAAUAUAGACAUUUUAAUUUAAUGAUUUUCAGAUUUAAGUUUUAUACAAGUUUAGUAAAUAUACUGUAAAUCAAUAAAUUAUAUUUCAACACAUUUAAUUUGCAUAUAUUGUUUUUCUCAAAAAUAUACAUAUAUAUUCGUUAGAAGAACAAAUUAGUUACACAUGAUAGAGAAUAUUUAACGCCUAGUUAGUUAUGGAGACUGAAUUAAUUUUUUUAGCGCCUUUUCAUAAGUACAUCUGAAAUUUUUUGGAGAAUAUAUUUGUGAUGGUUCAAAAAUAUUAUUUCACUUUUAAAAUAAACAGUGCUUUAACGAUAACAAUCAAAGAAAAAAAUAUUUUGAAAUUGACAUCCUUAUGAAAAUUGAAUGUUGUAAAAAUAUAUUUAUAAUUUACUAUAUUUAAAAGGAGAUGAUAAAUUAACAGCGUUUUAAUAUAGUUUGUUAAUGUUACAGGAUCAAAUCAGUGACAAAUUUUUAUUAGGGGAAUACUUUAGGAACGUUAUAACCUCCGUUUGAUUGGUGUUAAAUGGGUGGAGAUAACUCUCUUUACACCUCUAUUUUAUCUCCAAAUAUUUUAAAAAUAGGGGUUAGAUAACACCACCUUAAAUGGAUAUUCCGAUUACUAAACCCACUAACCCACCAAACUCCACCCAAAACACUAUUUCUAUCAUAAUACACCUCACUAAUCUUUUUUAUCCACCUAUUUUCAAAAUGCAAAUAUAAUUUCUUACUAUCCUGAACUAACCCAACUCUCACCAAAUACAAAAAUACUCUAACCUUCAUAUUAACUCUAAAUUUAACUCUAUUUCUGGAAUUAAUUAGAUUUUAUCUUAACCCGAACCAUACAUUUGCUUAGAUUUUUCGCUGGUAGAAAACGUUCUCCCCUGGCUGUUCCUCAGAGGCGCGGUUCGCAACAUAACCAACCGAACCCGAUUCUGCUGCGUACCCGAAACGUACCAACAAUCGGGUCGACGCCCACCCUCCUGGUUACCGUCGCUGCGUGCUGUUGACCGGGUGCGGUCGUCCGCACCACCCACCACUUAUCCUCAAAGGGUAUUGGACCUGGUGUNNNNNNNNNNNNNNNNNNNNNNNNNUCAAUGUAUAUAAAAAAAUAGAACGACAUAACUGUAAAAAUAUUCAAUGUAUAUAAGAAAAUAGAACUAUAUAAUUGUAGCUGGCAGCAACUAUUUGAAUUUGAAUUAUGAUAUGACAGAUAUUUUCAAAUAAAAUAUAAUAGAUAAUUUUAAUUUUAAAAAACUUAAAUUUUAUUAUAAAUUAUUGGAUAAAUAUGAUGCACAAAUUUAUGUUAAUUUGAAAUAAUUAUUAAAAUAAUUAUUGACAGAAUUAUUAUUUAGCAAAAAAAAUUAUUGCAAUUGUCACGCCCCGGGGUCCAUUUUUGUUUGAAAAUACAGUGAAAAUAGCUAGAAAUUUUUUUUUUUAAAGACCUGACCCCAGGGUAUGCCAGAUCCGUUGUCACGCCCCUGACCGCACUACCCGAAACGGUACCAAUUUGGUCCAUUUCGAGGGCGGCGGCGGGCGUGAUGCCGAACGGACAGAGUCUCCCCUGUCCGCUCAAGGCUAACCAACCAGAUUGUGUACAACAAGUCCUCAGGAAUACAACUUGAAUUCAUACACAAUCAAACAACGAUAAUCGAGAGCACAAACAGUGCUAUAUAACAACAAGAGCAAGCGAUACAAGUAAACAGUAUAUAAAUAUUCAAAAGAGAGAAACUUAACUAUUUGAGACAUUUAACCUCUUUCGAUAACAUUUAAACUUUAAUCAUUUAAUACAACUUGCAUUCUCUUCCAAAAAAUGUAAAUACAUCAUAUACUCUCCAAAAUCUCAUCCUAUACAACAUCUACUCUCAAAAUGUAAAAGCAGGGUGAACUAAUGCAAGUAGGAAGUAAGCUAUCAACCAAUACGCUAGGGUGCCAAGCCCUUNNNNNNNNNNNNNNNNNNNNNNNNNNNNNNNNNNNNNNNNNNNNNNNNNNNNNNNNNNNNNNNNNNNNNNNNNNNNNNNNNNNNNNNNNNNNNNNNNNNNUAAGUAGAAUUUUAAAAAAAUUUAUACAUUUAUUAUAAUAAAUUAUUUUUAUUAAUUGUUUCCACCCCUAUUCUUAUUUGAAAAAAUUAAAAAUUAAAAAUUUAAAUUUUUAAAAUUUAUAAUUUAUAAUCUCAAAAUUAAAGUUUAUAAUUUUAAAUUUUAAAUUUUAUAUUUAAGUUUUGAUAUUUUAAUUUGAAAUUUAAAAUUUGAUAUUUUAUAUUUUUCAAAUUUAAAUUUGAUCUUAAAUUUAAAGUUUGAAAUUUAAAAUUUAAAAUUUUGAAUUUAAAAUUUGAGAUUUUAAAUUUCAAAUUUUAAAAUUAAAAUUUAAAAUUUAAAAAUUUAAAAUUUAAAUUCAAAUAUAAUAAGAGGAUAAUAUCAUUACUUUUUAUUUAUAAAACCAACUAUACUUCUUAUUCCAUCUUAUCUAACCAAACACUAUUUUUUUAUUUUCAGGAAUAACCCAAUUUUCAUCCAAAUACAAAAUUGAUCUAAUCCCCGCUUAUACCUCAAUUUAUACUUAUCCCUGAAAUAGCUACUUUUUGCUUAUCCCCGAACCAAACAAUACCUUAAAAGGUUGAGUGGUCCUCUCGAGUUGAGUGGUUCCCACUGAGUUAUAAUAUUCAAAAAAAUUGAUCAAAGACUAAAAACUUAAUAACAAAAGGAGACAAAUACUAUUAAUAAUAUUCUAGCCCAACACACACUAUAUAUAUAUAUAGAGAGUCCGGCUACUAUACUCUUAUGAGUAAGAUCGCCCUCGUACUCAUAAGUUGUUUUCGAUGAUAGAGCUUCCGAAUCGACGAUCCACACCAUUAAACAUUAUCUAGAGCAUUUGAAACAUCUAGAAAUCAAAUUUUAUAAUUUUUCGACAUCAUUUACCUUACGAUCAAAAGCUCACAAAAUUAAUAAUUUUUAACGGUCGGUAUGAGAUAUUUGCUAGUUUAACGGUAUAAAAGAAUCGGAAUAAGUUGAAUUUUUGAUAGAAAAUUCUAUUCACUACCUAAAUAAAGAUCAAUAACUUCGAUCUUAAAUUGAAGGAUCCGAUCAUCCAUUUUUAGAAUGUCGUUUGAUUUUCCCCGUUCAUUUUAUACCCGCUUGAUAGAUUUUAUAAUGGUUUCGAAAAAUUACGAAAUUUAUCUUCUAAGAGUUUCAAAUACUCUAGAUCAUGUUUAACAGUUUGGAUCGUCGAUUCGAAAGCCCUAACAUCGAAAACAACUUAUGAGUACGAAGGGCUCUAUACUCAUGAGAGUAUAUUAGCCCUACUAUAUAUAUAUAUUUAUAUAGAACUAUACUAGAAUACUAGCAAUUGCACCAAGUUGUUGGCACUAUUAAUUUUUUAACCCUUGAAUUGAGAAAUGUGCGGUUAGGAUGAUGUGGGCCCCCAAGGAUUGAGUGGGUGGUUGGUUGAAUAGUAUAAUCUAACAGAUAAAAAUAAUCAAAGGGGUUAAUCUAACGACAGAAAACUUGAUAGCACCAAACGUAAUUGGUGCUAUCGAUAGCAUAGCAACCGGACUCUAUAUAUAUAUAUAUAUAUAUAUAGUUGAGCUAGAAUACUAUCGAUAGCAAACGGGCUCCCUUGCCACCCAUUUGUUUUCGAUGAUGGAGCCUUCAAAUCGACGAUCGACACCGUUGAACAUAAUCUAUACUACUUAAAGUGUUUAGAAAUCAAAUUUCAUACAUUUUCAAUAUUGUUCUCUUAUCCAUCGAGUGGACACAAAAAUAAACGGCUAAAAAUAAAUAUUCUUUAAAAAAUGAUGAUAGAAGUCUUGUAAUCAAGAUCAAGAAUAUAAAUCUUGUUUUAAAUAGUUUAAAAAAUUUUCUAACAAAAAUUCAAUUAAUUUGAAUAUCUUUACGCCGUUAAACGAGAAAACGCAUCAUAUCGACCAUUAAAAUUACAAAUUUUGAAACCCUUUGAUCAUUAAACAAAUGAUGUCAAAAAGAUUUGAAAUUUAAUUUCUAAACACUUCAAGUAGUAUAAAUCAUGUUCAAUGAUGCCGAUCGUCGAUUUGGAGGCUCUAUCAUCGAAAACAAAUGGAUGACAACGGUGCCCGUUUACUAUCGAUAGUAUUCUAACUCAACUCUCUCUCUCUCUCUCUCUCUCUCUCUCUCUCUCUCUCUAUAUAUAUAUAUAUAUAUAUAUAUAUAUAUAUAU